UAACAUUUAUUGAGGAAGCUCAACUUGAUAAAGGCUAGAUACUUAUGCUAACACUUAACUAGUUCCACAAAGUUUUGUUGUCUAUUUGAGCUCCACAGAAUUCAAGGAUCAAAGAAGACUAGCAGACGGAGGAUAUUCUAAUCGCUGUCAGGGUGCUGCCGACAUUCAAAUACACCUCCGCCACUUGCUAGCUACAUCAGAAGAGAUUACGUCAAAAUCCAGCUUGGGGGAGAGCACCUCCAUUUAUCCAGCUAAGUAUUCUACUCACGUUUAUACUUUACUUAAAUAAUAAAAAGAUGCAUAAUCAUAAAAACCCAAAUAAAUAUUUUGUGCUUAUAUAUAUCUUUGCUUAGUUUGCUAAAUAAAUAAAUAAAUAAAGUUUGCUAUGAACCCUCAUGAUAAGCUCUCACAUAGAAAUGAUGAAUAGUUGCUGUGCCAUGACUAGUUCUCAAAAUUGAAAUCUCUCUCAAGUUUAGGUAUGACUGUUAUUAAUUAAGAUUUGCUCUAAACCUAAACUUAUGGGAAGAGUACUUGAUCUGAAGUCUAAGUCGUUAACGGAUAUGAUAUGGAAAGGUUGAGCUGCUGUUUAUCUGUUCCUAGAGAUGCUAGAAUUCUGGAGAAUUUUAUCUUUGAAAAUCUUUAAAAUGUUGCAUGAUGAGUUCCUGUAUGAUGAGAGUUUAAAAUCCUACCACAGCCAUAUAUACAUGCUUGCUAGACUUUGAGCCACACAUUUAUUUUUUUUACUGCUUAUGAGCAUUGAGUGUGGUCAAGCUGUGUAGACCCUUAGGAGCUUGUCAUGUGGUUAAAUCAAGAUUCACUUGCACGUUCACUCAUACAUGCUGCUUCUACUCCGGAAGUACGCAUCCACAUAUAUCCACCCAUUUUCAUCUCCAGAAUCACCCAAAAAUAUUCUACUCCUAAUCCGGGAGAGAAUAGCCAAAAACAUUCUCCUAUUUCUGUUUUUCCCUGUGAAAUAAAUGCUCAAGUUAUCCUGUUACUACCACUUGCUACAUUAUCUCAUGAGAUGAGUGAUCUAAAAAAAAGAGAGAAAGAAAAAAAAAGAGAGAAAGAAUACGAGGAAAUAAAAAGGGGCAAGUGCCCGGAACCUCGAAAGAAAAGAAAAAGUGAGACGAGAGGUAAAAAUGGACAAGUGUCCGAUAGUAGAAUUAGGGGUACAUGAUACCUACCUGAGAGAAAAGAAAAAAAAGAAAAAAAAGGAAAAUAUAGAGCAUCUCAUUCUCCUCAAAAAGUUUCAAAAGAGCAAGAAAGGUAUGUAUCCCUUCAAAAGAGCACAAGUAGAAUUAGACUUUCACCAUUGUCAUCACCAUCAUCACCAUACACCAUUCAUUCGCCACACAUGCACAUCUUGAUUUGACUUCUUGACUUGUUCUUCUGGAUCCAUGGUUUGACUAUGCAAUAAAUGUCUUGUAAGUAUGUAUUAGUUGUCUCCCACCUAUGAGCUCCAGAUAUCAAAACUUUAUUAGAGUAGGGUGAGAGAGAAGGCAAUGCCACUAUGCCUCAUACCAAAAAUACCACAUACUUUGAGAGAAGGCAUACACCAUUACUGCCUUGGUAAGGAUCUAGAAAUACCACAAAAGAGAGACUAGAGAGAGUCAUACAAGGAAUAUCUGAGUUUUAUUUGAAAAUCUGCAAAAACUCCAGAGCUAUAGUUAAUCAAAGAACAAGAGACAUGGCGCUUGACUAGACCGUUCUAUCUUUUAACUGCUCAAGACACAAGUGAUGGUUACAUGUCCCAUGGUGAAAGGUAAAUGAGUAAGUUUUAAGUCUUAACAGUUUACUCUAACCAGAGAUAAGAUCUUGUUUAAACGCAUGUGUAUCUUUAAGGCAUGAAACCACUGCAGAAACUCUUGAGUUCAUCUUUGCUCAGGGACGAGCAAAGGUUAAGCUUGGGGGAGCUUGUUGACGGUCCUUAAAGCUCACAUUUAAGCAUCAACUAAUCAUGGAAAAGGAUCCAAAUGCAACCAACACCUAGACUUAGGGUUUUAUCUGACAGAAUUCCACGAGUUUUGGUGUUUGUCUAUUUCUACAGGGGGUUAUCAGGAAAUACGGAAGAAAGGCCCACACGUCGGGUUUACAUAGAGAUAUUAACGUGUCGCGCAAUUUUCUAUCAUCUAGAAGACUCCAGAAGCCACGGGAACGAACGGGAAGGAAAUCGGGCUCGGAGGCAGGGCGCCCGCCCAACUCUCCUAGGCGCCCGCCCAGCUACAGUGCCCAAUCAGGACUCUCUUUCGGGACAACGCUCCACCGACCUAAAGGAUCAAGGAAAACCGUGCGAUUAAUGUCGGUUUGAUCCGACGGCCCAGAUUCACUUGAAGGGACUAUAAAACCAGACCCCCUGGUCCCUGGAGAUCAUACCUCUUCUACAUAAUCAAAGCUAGGGUUUCAAUUCUUCAUCCAAGUAGAGAGGAUCCCUCUAGUUCUUCUAGUUCUACUUCUAGUUCAUCUAGAUCUAGUUCUAGUUCAUCUAGUUCUAGUUCUAGUUCUUCUAGUUCUAGUUCUAGUUAGUUCUAGUUGUAAUCUAGAAAAUAGGGAGAGAGAAGAGGAGAGCGGAGGAGGAGCCGGAUCUGUCGGAUCUUCCUCAACAUUAUACUUUUGCAGCAUCUGGUUCGUUCUUCAUCGUUCUCCAGGUUCUUCAAUUCAUAACUCCUGAGUUCUCUAAUUACUUUUAUUUACAUUCAAGUUAUUUAUUGGAUUCCCGCUUGCAUCAAGUGCUCUAGUCUUUAUAACGCUAGAGUAGUAAUUAAUAGAUUAGACGUGGUGUUUAGUCUUGCAAUUACCUGGAAUUGCAUCCAAUCCUGCGGAUUGUUGUGGUAGCCUUAGGGUAGUGACAGCCCUAACGGUCGACGUAUUCCACCACGUUCGGAUCGGUGUUUGUAGGACCGUAGUCAGACCUUCCUAGCCCCCUUCUCAUCUCUUUCUGUGGUUAGUGCUCUGAUGUCCCGAUAUAGAUAAUCUUGAAGUAAUUCUUGAUUCUUAGAUCAACUAGAGAACUCUCAGGAAACUUCCUCUCUUCCCACCAAAAAUAUUCAUAUAGUUAUCCUUGGGCGAUCUUGGAUCUUAAUUAGUACACUCACGUUCCCUGUGGAAAAUCGAUACUCUGGAAUACUCCCGGGUGAAGGCUACAUCGGUAUCCGUGCGCUUGCGGAUUUUUCUGUUUGCGUUUAAAAUACCCAACACGCACGGAUAUCGGUGAGCAAUUCACCCGGGAGGUUAUCCAGAGUAUCAUAUUUAUAUUUUUACUACUAGGAGAAAGCGUGCAUCUGACUAACCAAAUCUAUUGCUACUACCCUUUAGGCUACAAACUAUGUGAUUUGAUGUGAGAGAUGUAUAGAGAAGACUACAACUACACCCUCGUUGUAACCUUAGUAAGGAUGAUCUAUUGAUCUAUUGGGGAGGCUCACGGAAUCUAGACACCACAGAGGAUGUUCGACCCGCACCUAUCAACCCUAUCGAUCCUACUAACGGGGUUAUGGGCUACAAAGGUAACUCGGAAAUGUCACGUUCCUCGCUACUACCAUGGUCCAGCUAGACAGGGGAUAUCUAUGAGUAUCCUAGCCCAAACACCACGUUUACGCUAGAGAUGAUUACUCUAAACUCUACGCGAAGAGAUCAAAGUAAACUCAUAAACCAAAGAACAAUAAAACAAAGAACUUACUAGAAUUUAGAAGUCGAAAUACUGAAGAAUCCUAGGAGCAAGCCUCGGGUUAGGAGACUUGAUCCCGCACGUACAACCUCGGAGUAGACACCGACAGGCCGGGCUUCCUCCGAUCUACACCUCCACUCUAUUUCUCUCAAUCUAGUAGAACUAAUUCUACUCUCACAUUGGAUGCUAAGCCCUAUGAGGUUGGCACCCUAAGGAACCUCUCACUUUGAAUCCUCUCUAGAAAAUAUGCUAAUGAAUAAUGAGAUUCUAUCUCUCUAGGGGCCAGGGGCCUUGCUUAUAUAACCCUUUCAAAUGAAUCUAGGCCGUCGGAUCAAACCAACCUUGAUUGAAUGGUUCUCCUUGAUCCUCAAAGGUGGUGGAGCAUAAUCCGCAUGAUUCACCCUGAUUGGCCACCAGAGGUGGGCGGGCGCCCAAGGGGGGAGGGCGGGCGCCCUGCCCCCAGGCCCGAUCGGUCUCCCGUUCGUUCCGGUGGCUUCUGGAGUCUUCUAGAUGAUAGAAACUUGCGCGGCACAUUAAUAUCUCUAUGUAAACCCAACAUGUGGGCCUUUCCUCCAUAUUUCCUGAUAACCCCCUGCAAAAAUAGACAUAAACCAAAACUCGUGGAAUUCUGUCAUAUAAAACCCUAAGUCUGGGUGUUGGUUGCAUUUGGAUCCUUUUCUUUAUUUAUUUGAUGAUUAUAUUUGGUACUUAAGGACUGUCAACAGUUAUUAGGAGAGAAUUUCAGAGCAUUAAUGAUUUUAUACUCCAAAAUUGGGGGGCAUGUGGUGACACCAUUUUUUGACACGUAUCUAGAAAGUUAAUAGAACUUGGAUCGGCAGGCGAAGAAGUGAUGACCGGUUGACAAAGGAGUUGCCGAUGGGUUAUCAUAUCAAUGAUAAAGCAACAGGAUAUGACCAAGUCUAGGGAUAAUGGUUGAUCUAUGCCGAUGGCUGAUAUUAACGGUUGUCGAUGCCGAUGGGGGAUGAUAUGCCGAUGAUAGUGGAGGAAGGCGUAGGAAUCAUCGGGAAGAUGAUGAUGGUGUGCCGAUCGCCUAGGAUAGAUAAAUUAAUGAUUUCCAUAGUUAUUAGAGUUUGUUUUGUAUACAGAUUCUGUUUAGUUUGGAAUUAGAAUCCUACUCAUACCUGAUUGUAACUCUUUAGGAUAGGGUAUAAAUAUAGACCUAGUAGCAAUGUAAUAAACAAUCCAAUCAGUCAUACACAAAGUUUUUUACAUAUAUUUUUACAUCUAUUUUUACGACUUCGUCAACUCGCAUAUUUUCUCUUUACUUACGAGUUCUUAGGAAUUCAUCGAGUCAAACUCGACGAAUUCUCAAGUUCCGCGUGAAUACCGCUUGGCCGUGGCAUCCGGGUGCAUCGCUGUUGUCAGGACCAAAGUAUUUGAGCUAUCACCUUUGUCGGUUGUAAGGUCAAAUCAGCUGGCAUGCCUUAACAUUGAAUCGGGUAUUAGCCCUUUCUAUGUGCAGAUCUACUUUUGCAUCAACAGUGUGCGACCCUAUGGGUUCACGUGCAUAUAGACAUGGGCCGAGUACUCCUACUCACCCAAUAGUUGACAGCAGCCUCUAGCAUGACGUGACAACUCCUAUACGUACGCAAAGAUCAUAUCAGACAAACCACUACAUACAUAUACAUGUUAUUCCCUUGCCACACGAUAUUUGGUCCAACUCAUGGGUUCACACUUAACCCAAGCACGACCAUGCAUUUGUUGAUCUAAUCACUCGAGUGAUCUAGUGAUAUCUCUCUCACAAAGACAGGGAAAGUUGCAUCUUGAUCAUCUAUGUCUCACAGCAUGUUCCCCAACAAACCUGAAGACCACCUUUAUAACUACCCAGUAACAGAGUAGCAUUUAAUAGUCCCUAAGUAGGUCGUUUCACAUCUUGAGAACAUACGACAAUCUCAGGUCUAAAGAUAUAACGUACAUGAUGUAUAAAGAGAUUAUAAGAACAUCUAAUGUUUGGUCGGUCCAGCCCCAUGUCAUACAUGUGCCCACAUUAUUAGUUUGACAUCUCUAUGUCUAUGACUUGUGAAACAAAGUCAUCAACUAUUACAUGUGCUAAUCUAAUGUUCAUGUGUAUCCUCACACAAACUCUGAUCAAGGACAACUUUAGAAUAACCAUACAAGUAAAAGAAUUUCACAAACAAUUCACAUAAUUGUUAAUCAAUACAAGUUUGUCUAUAAUGGAUAUUCACUGAACUCAUAAUAUAUGCCAUGGAUAUAAUCAUAAUAUCAUCAUCUCUAUGAUUACCUCUAGGGCAUAUUCCCAACAUUUUGCUGUACUGGUAUUGUAAUGAUCUACUCAUACCGGUCAGAAUUCUACCAUCUAAGUUAAGUGAUACAUGUAAACCCAGUCAUGGUGAGAUAGAGAUCAAUCAGAUUGAUCUAAUUGAACCCUAGGUCAAGUGCCAGGCGCAUGUGAUGCGCGGCGGUAGUAGAUGGGAUCUACUGCCGGGCGACGGAUUACUAGGCAAAGUGUUGUUCGGUUAAUCAGUCGUAACUUUUGAUCCAUAACUCGGAUUGAGACGAUCUCUAAACAAAAAUCAUAGAGAAAAAAAUUACAUUUGAUUUUCCACCGUGAAACCAUGUUUGGUGAUAUAGAAUUACGAAGCCCUGCAAGUUUAGACAUCCGAAUCGGUUAACUCUGUUUUGCAGGGAUUCAUGACUGGUAUAGCCGUUAUGUGUAUGUGAUGCAUGUAUGUAAUAAAUUCAUGGCUUGCAUGUCAUGAUAAUGACAAUAUGGCUGGAGCCACAUAGAUAUAGUCCACCUGAUGUAAUGGCCUGCGUGCCAAUCUGUGAUGAUCCUACCUGCGACUAUGUAAUUUUAAUUCACUGCCUUGCGUUAGUGAUAGCUAGUCUUGGAUGAAUCAUUACUGGAGGAUGGCGUACACGGAUCAUGGAGAUGAAGAUCACCAUGAUGAACAGAUAGAUGGAGAUGGAGAUCCCCAAAGUGGUAAUGGGCUAUACCAAGUCAUAUUUGUGUUUAAUGUCGUUCUUACUAUGUUCUACUUUCAUAUGCGAUGAUAUUUUUGUCUACAUGCGCGCGGUAGUGAAGCAGAACGAUCCCUCAACAAUGCUUAAGUUACAUGCUCCCCCAAACCUUGCACUAUCAUGUGUCUUGUACAAUCAGUGGUAGGUCUAUGAAAUUAGGGUGCCACUGGUUUUCCUAGACUAGAUAGGUUCGUAUCGGAUACUUACUGCAGAAGGGUUGGUUUCUUGAACAAGGUCAUCCUAACGGUUAGGGACCUUGGAGCAUAAGUAGUUGGGAUACACAGGCAUAGAGAUGUCACCCCAACAACAAGAGUCAUAUGUGAUAUGAUUAGCAAGGAGUUGCUUACCGAUCUACCAUGUCUACUAGCGGUGAUGCUAAAGCUCACUAGUAUACUUGUUAGUUGUGGGUCUUGAAUCACUAAGUAUCAAUCGAGGGAUAUUGAUUUUAGUGGGAGUAGAUUUUAUUUAAUAUUAUUUACUCUAUCUUGGAUUUUAUUUAGUGGGAGUAUUUUGCAUUAUUUUUGUUGUAGAUUAAUGGCGCCCACCAAUCAAACAUUUACUUUGCGCUCAAUUCUUGAGAAAGAUAAGUUGAAUGGAACAAACUAUGCAGAUUGGAUCCGCAACCUGAGAAUUGUUCUUAGGGCUGAGAAAAAGGAAGAGAAUCUAGACACCCCAUUACCAAAAGCACCUACUGAUAAUGCACCUGCUGCAGAGAAGAAUGCUUACAAGAGAGCAUGUGAUGCUAUUCUUGAAGUGAGUUGUCUCAUGCUUGCUUGUAUGGAACCUGAGCUGCAGAUGCAGUUUGAAAAUAAUCAUGCAGCGUAUGAUAUAAGCAUAGCACUUAAUGAUAUGUUCCAAGCAUAGGCUAGGACUGAAAGGUUCCAAGUCUCAAAAGCUUUUGUUGAAUGCAAGGUAGCAGAGUGUGCAGCAGUUGGCCCACAUGUAAUCAAGAUGGUUGGUUACACUCAGAGGUUGGAGAAGCUAGGCUUCCCAAUUGGCCAAGAGUUGGCCACUGAUUUUAUUCUCUCGUCUCUUCGGCCCAAUUAUGGAAACUUCAUCUCGAACUACCAUAUACAUGGGGCAGAGAAGGGCUUGAAUGAAUUGUGUGGCAUGCUGAAAACAGCAGAGGAUGACAUCAAGAAAAGUGCAGGCAGUAGCCAUGUGUUGGCUGUCCAAAACAAGCCUAACUUUACGAGAAAGAACGACAAUGCUUGGAAGAAGAAAAAGGGUGAGGCUAAGGAUGAGAUCCAUAAGCUAAACCCACCUGCACCUAAGGCUGGACCAGCUGCUGAUGAAGAGAGCUUUCAUUGUAAGGGGAAAGGUCACUCGAAUAGGAACUGCAAGUUGUACUUGGCAUCCUUGAAGAAGGAUGGCGGUAGUAAAGGUACUCCCGCUGCUCAUACACUUGUUGUUUAUGUUAUUUAUAUUUUCCUUGCAACUCUUAUAUUAAUUCUUUGGUAUUUGAUACCGGAUCGGUUGGACAUAUGUGCAAUACGAUGCAAGGAAUGAUAAGAAGUAGAAGCGUUGAAAAGGGAGAAGAUGAUUUCCACAUGGCAAUAAUGCAGAAGUUGCUACGUUGAACAUCAGGACGAUGCAACUUCAUCUACCAUCGAAAUUUAUUUUGGAAUUGAAUAAUUGUUAUUUUGUUCCUAGUUUAAGUCGAAACAUUGUGUCUCCUUCAUGUUUGAUGAAGGAUGGUUAUUCAUUUGCGAGUAAAGAUAAUGGUUGUGUGAUCUCUAAGAAUAACAUAUUUGUGGCUUAUGCAUCCAUUGUGAACGGGUUAUUUAUUUUAAAUCUUGAUGAUGCACCUGUCUGUAAUGUUAGUGCUAAAAGGCCUCAGGUUAAUGAGUUAAGUCCUACUCAUUUGUGGCAUUGUCGUUUGGGUCAUAUAAGUGACAAUCGCAUGAAGAGGCUCCAUGAUGAUGGGCUUUUAACUUUGUUUGAUUUUGAAUCAUACGAGACAUGUGAGUCUUGCUUACUAGGAAAGAUGACCAAGGCACCUUUCAUAGGUUUUCCUGAGAGAGCGUCUGACUUGUUGGAACUUAUACAUAAUGAUGUAUGUGGACCAACGAGCAUGACAACUAGAGGUGGAUUCUAAUACUUCAUAACUUUUACUGAUGAUUUUAGUAGAUAUGGAUAUGUCUACUUAAUGAAACAUAAGUCUGAAACAUUUGAAAAGUUCAAAGAAUUUCAGAACGAAGUAGAGAAUCAACAUGGCAAUAAAAUUAAGGCUUUUUGAUCUGAUUGUGGAGGCAAAUAUUUGAGUCACAAAUUUAGCAAUCAUCUAAAGAGUUGUGGAAUCGUUCCACAACUUACGCCACCUGGAACGCCUCAGAGGAACGGUGUGUCUGAGCGACGUAAUCGAACUUUGUUGGACAUGGUUUGAUCUAUGAUGAGCCAGUCGGACCUACCUUUAUCAUUUUGGGGAUACGCUCUAGAAACAGCCACGUUCACUUUAAAUAGGGUACCAUCUAAGUCUGUAGUUAACUCGAACACUUUGGUCCCGACAACAGCGAUGCGCUUGGAUGUCACGGCCAAGAGGUAUUCACGCGGAACUCGAGAAUACGCCGAGCUUAAGUCGACGAAUUCCUAAGAACUCAUAGUAAAAAGGAAAAUAUGACGAAGUCGUCGAAAAAAGUAGAUGCUGGAAUAUGAGUAAAAACUUGUGUUUUAUUGAUUGAUCGAUCCUCAUUACAAGGCCCUAGGGUCUACAUUUAUACCCUGCUCAAAGAGCUACAAUCAGACACGACUAGGACUCGAAUUCCAAAUUAAACAGAAUCCGUAUACAAAACAAAUUUAAAUAACUAAGGAAAACAUAAAACUACCCCCUCGUAACCGACCGGGACACCGCCACAGAUCAAUCGGCAAUCUCCACGCUUUCCUUCAGAGUCAUCGGCAGACUUCCUAUUAUGGCCAUCGGCAAACACUGAUAUUGAUCAUCGGUAAGAACACGUCACCACCUCUGGACUUAAUCACAUUCAAUCGUCUCUUCAUCGGCAACUAUCCUCAUCAACAACUCUUCUGUAGACUAGUUACCAUUGCUCCACCUGCCGAUCUAUACUUUACUGGUCCCUGGGUACGUGUCCAAAAACGGUGUCAAUACAUGCCCCCCAAUUUCGGAGUAUAAAAUCAUUAAUGCUCCAAAAUUCUCUGCAGUAAUGAUGCCUUUCCGCAAUUAAUUCUCCCAAUUUGGUAACCGACCGUUAAAUCUGAACAACCUUGGCAUGAUUCUCCUACAGAUUCAUCGAAUUCCUCAACCUUCCGAACCGGAUCUCUCCACUUUAUGCGCCCAUCGGCCAUAUUACCGUUAGAGGGAACUGCCGAUGGACCGACCAAGAGAUCCCACACAGUGAAAUAUCUCCAAAAUUGUGACCGCUUGCUGUCAAAUCACCUGCACAAUCCCUUGAUUACCAUGCAAACAGUUACCAUAUCUACCUGAACACCCUCAGAUUUCAUGGAUGCGGCAAAGAGAUAAGUCAAAUUUGCCCCUGCCCGUUUUGUCCUAUAAAUACUUCCUUCCCGGGUACUCCUUCUCCAUCUUGUCAUUCUACAGCCCAAAAUCCACUUUCACGGCGGCGGCACCACCUGAGGACUCCAAGAACUUCAACGAAGGCCUUCCUCACCAGUCUUCCAAGUCUUCGAUCUUUUUCCUCGCAAGAAAAUGGCCAUCAACUUCACCGUGCCUGAGGUCAGUUCACUACCCUUCUUUUCUGCAUCUUUACCGUACUCCUGUUCACCCGCGAUUUCUUUUACUGAAUACUCAUUUUUCUUUUUUUUGUUCUUUCUUUUAUCCCCACAAACCUUAAGGAUCCGGCCGAUAAGAUCACUAUUCCUACCGAUCAACUUUACCUCCAAUGUCGUGGCCCGCUAGGAAACCCAGAUCCCACCGAUCUGAUAAACGCAGAGACAAACAGAGUUCCUUUUAGAGCCGAAAAUUUCUCUCUAGAUGUAUGGAAGGAUGCCUUCCGUUCCUGGCCUAGCCCUACCAAGGAAUGGAAAGAUUGGUUCUUGAGAGUCAAUCAUUCAAAUGAAGUUCAAUGGGGCGAGCGAAAAUUGGACCAGUGCAUUAGGUUGUCCCUUGCCGAUAUGGAGAGGAAUGAGUCAUUGCUGAUCGCCGCUUCAUACUUUUGGUCAGACACACUCAAUGCUUUUGUGUUUGGCCAUGGCCCUGCUUCUCCUACACUUGUCGAUGUACUUAUGCUCACCGACUUAGAUGUAUCCACUGCCGAUAACACCCACCUGUUCGACACCAAACCCAGUGCUAAGGUGGAAACUCGUGCUAUCGGUGGUUGGUCAGGGUACAUUCAGAAGUACCGAAGAACAGGUCCUGUCAAUGCAAAGGAACAGACCACUUUUCUGAACAUGUGGCUAGAUAAAUUUGUAUUCUGUGGCCGAUCGGCAGGACCAACUUCUGCUUACCUAUCGGCAGCAGAAAGAUUAGCCGAUGGCGGCCUAUUUCCCCUUGGCUGAUACUUGCUUGGCUCGGCUUAUCAUUGUUGACGGUCCUUAAGUACCAAAUAUAAUCAUCAAAUAAAUAAAGAAAAGGAUCCAAAUGCAUCCAACACCUAGACUUAGGGUUUUAUCUGACAGAAUUCCACGAGUUUUGGUGUUUGUCUAUUUCUGUAGGGGGUCAUCAGGAAAUUUGGAGGAAAGGCCCACAUGUCGGGUUUACAUAGAGAUAUUAACGUGCCGCGCAAUUUUCUAUCAUCUAGAAGACUCCAGAAGCCACGGGAACGAAUGGGAGGCCAAACGGGCCCGGGGGCAGGGCGCCCGCCCUCCCCCCUUGGGCACCCGCCCUGGAGUUUCAACCAAUCACGCACAAUCUCGCGGAUUAUGCUCCACCGACCUAAAGGAUCAAGAAUAACCGUUCAAUCAAUGUCGGUUUGAUCCGACGGCCCAGGUUCACUUGAGGGGACUAUAUAAGCAGACCCCCUGGCCCCUAGAGGAGGCACCCCUUGAUCAUUAUUCAUUAUUCAUAGACAGAGCAAAAGCUAGGGUUUAGAGAUGAGAGCUCUCCUCUCUUCUCUAAACUAGAGUAGAUCUAGAUAGUAGCGAGAUGGAGAGCGAAGGAGGAUUAGAGGAGAGGCUAGCCUGUCGGUUCUUCCUCCGGUUGUACUUCGUCAUGAUCAAGCUCUAAUCAAGCUUGCUCAUGGGAUGACUCUGGUAAUCUACUUCUCAUUCAUUAUGCAAUUACUAAUCAUGUAUGUUCUCGUUCACAACUCUUUUGAGUACUUCUAAUAUAUAGGACCCUAUAGGUUAGAGUUGUAGUAUAGGUGUAAGCGUGGUGCUUAGACCUACAUUACUUGUGGAUAUCCCCUGUCUAGCUGGAUAGUGUGGUAGGCCGCGUAGGUGACAGCUAUGUUGGUCCUCUGUAGUCCACCUCUCGUUAGCAGGACGGGUAGGGUUUAUCGGCCUAUGGAUAAGCAUCCUUUGUGGUGUAUUCUUAUCACGUGGAUCGUCCCGGACAUAGACAUACCCCUUUGAAGUAGAGAAACCAUAGUUAUCCUCUCUAUUCUGCUACCAUCGCUCAUAUAAUAGAAUUGCUCUAUUCUCUAUUCCCAUAUUAUCACUCACUGUUAUCUUACCUUUAAUAUUGUUCUUAUUCAAUUGUACCAUCUUUCCUAUUUACACCUAUCUAUCUAUCUAGGUUAAGUUAGAGCGUAGAUCAGUUCUCCUGUUUCCCUGUGGAUACGAUAAAACCUUUAACCGGGUAAAAGCUUCAACGGUAUCCGUGCGCUUGCGGAUUAUCUGUGUGCGUAUAAAUACCAUAGUACACUCUAGUGCCAUACUGGAGAUGACAACCUAGUAUUCAAGUGGUGUUAGCAAGUGUCAACAAGCAUUUAUGGCGCCGUUGCCGGGGAAACGGUUGCUGAGUUGACUACGAACUUGCUUAAUCAUUUUCUAAAAAAAUAAAAAAUAUAUAUAUAUACUUUUCCUUUUAUCUUUUGCCUUAUCUCUGCUAUUCUUUAUUCUUAUCUUAUCCUUGAUCUCUGGUCUAUCAUGAAUUCAAACAUGUCUAUCUAUGAAUUUCAUAGACCUACGGGCACACAUCUCGAACCACCAAAAUCUUCAAAGCCUAUCAUAGCAUCUAGUUUUGAGAUAGACCCCGAAUACAUAGAAUUUGUUCAAAAACAACCUUUCUCAGGAGAAGGUGAGGAAAACCAAUACACACACUUAAGAGAGUUUUAUCGAGUCUGUGACCUCCUUCACAUAGAAGGCAUGUCCGAUGAGACCCUUAAAUGGAAGCUCUUUCCGUUCUCUUUAACAGGAAAAGCAAGACAUUGGUACAAACUCAAAGUAAGGAGUGUUCAUGGAGAUUGGAAGGAGUUAUAUAGUAGUUUUCUUUCUAAAUAUUUUCCAAUCUCCAAAGUGGUGGAACUUUGGCGUGAGAUUCUUUCUUUUAGACAACUGGAAGAAGAAUCUCUUGGCAAAUCAUGGGACCACUUUAUUAACCUUACUCUCACUGGCCCAAAACUUUCUAUUCUAGAAGAAGUUCUUCUAAUUCACUUUUUUCAGGGCCUUAGUAGGGAAAAUAAGCAAACCUUGAAUACAGCCUCUAGAGGAUCCUUCUAUCACCUACCUGCUAGUGAAGCUUGGAAUUUGAUUGAUUUAAUGAGCGGAAAGUCUCCUAGCUUUUAUAUCCCUGAGAAAGAGACAGAACCAGUUCCUAGACAAGAAGAAGAAGUUUCGAUAGCCAGAUCACAACCACUUCAAUCCCAAACUUUAGCUAUCGAUCCUAAACCAUCAAUACCCCAAAAUUCUCCAAGGGAGGAAGGAAUUCCGACUUUAAAUCUUUCAGAUACUGAUGGUUUAGACUUCUGGUUCCAUAAGAGACCUUCAAGUAGGGAUAAUUAAAAUCCUUGCAAUAAUGGUUCUCUUAGAGAAAGUCCUGGUUCCUAUUAUGAAGAAGUCGAGGAUGACAUAUCAAGUGAAGGAGAGCUAAACCAUAUAGAAGAUUCUAUCUGCUCAACUUUCAUGUUCACAAAUUCUAAAUCCAUCCUUGACCUUAGAGAUCCCUCUUCUUUUCAGUCUCAUGAUGAUCCUAGCAAUUCACCAAGACGACCAAACCAUAGGAGUCAUGAAGACCAUAAGGAUGGCAUGUCAAGUAAUGCCACAGAAGGAGAGCUAAGCCAUAGAGAAGAUUCUAUCAGCUCCCCUGUCUUGAUCACAAGUUCUAAAUGGCUAGAAUGCAUAGAAUGGAUGGAUAAGGAAGAAGCCUUAAUGGAUUCUGACGUUGGCUCAAUUUCAAAUGGUGAAUUCUUGACUCCCUUUGAAGAUGAGAUUCAUCCAACUACAGAAGAGGAUAUAGGUGAGACUAAUCUAGGAGAAACUCCGAACAUUCAUAUUGGAGACGAAGAUAACAUUAAUGAGCAUGAAAUUUAUUUCAUAGCCACUUCAUUUACUCCAUGCUCAUAUGUAACAUCUUCCCAAUCUAUUGGUCUCUCCAACAUCACCACAUUUGAGAUCUCCAACCCCCUCUUCCCUUCUAUUUAUAAAAACUUUAAAAGGGCGGUUGUCGAUGCAUAUGUCUAUAAUAAAUAUUGCAGAUCUCAUUGAGUUGAUCUUGAUAUAGGUCAGCGUUGGAAGGGAAACCACUUCGCUGACAUAAAUUGAUGGUUUCCCAAGGACAAGCUUAGUGUCCUAAAAUCAGCACUGAUCAGAUCGUAACAUGAGCUUUUAACUAUUUACAGCAUUACCUUGUGUAUUGAGCAUAUAAGGAUAAUUGUAAAAAUAUUCCUUCGGGUAUUCUUGUCACUAACCUUUCCAGGAUUGGAGCAAGAAGAUCGGAUGAUGACAAGCACAAGGUAUGUCCAACCAAUCAUCAUACAACAUUGAAUUAAAUUCACCCAAACUUGAAUUUUACAAAAUUCAAGCUUGGCGGAGUACUUUACAUAAAAACAUCCUUUGUCAUGUUGCUAUGUUGGUUGUCCCUACCUUUGAGACAUGCUCAAUUUGUUAACUACUAAUCACACUACUUCAUCUCCACUUGAGUAGAUCUCUAAAAAUGCUAUCACACUACCUUUGUUUAUCCUAGUAAGUGUUAGUUUGGAAGUACUGCACAUACUUCUAUUGGAUUUUAAAUUAAGCAUGGUGCUUAGGUUAAACAGCCUUCCUUAAUCUGAUUAGACAUGGAGUCUAGUUUGGUUACUGAACUAAAAACUGCUUGAGUAGAUAUUGGUAUAUUUUUUUCGGACUAACCCCUGUAGGAAAACUUUCAAUAUCAACCUGGGAAGUCCUGAGAUAAACUCACAUUGGAGACAAGGAGAGGGACACAUGAAGUUUAACAAUUUACACAAGGAAGACGUAGCUCAUAAGAGAUGAUCCAUGGAGGGUGCCACAAACACGAUACACAACCGUUAAGAAAGAAAAGCUUCCACAAGGUGAUACUGUACCAUCACUCUUCAAUUAAGGUAACAUCUUAAGAUAUCUGAUUAUCACUUUUAUAAGCUUCUCCUUGGUUAUGGCAUUCACACAAAUAAAGAGACAAACAUGUAUGAUUUAUAACUCCAAAUUAACCAACCCAACUGAUUCAGCAUGUUUAUUCCUUUAAUCUUUGUUCCUAGUACUACCUCCAUGAUCCCACACUCCUAAUCAUAUGAGCUAAAAUGUUACACAUUCAAUCUUUGAGAGAUAUAAAGAAAAAAGACAUAUACAUAGAUAGGUUAUCUUUCCAUAAGGUUGAGCGAUCUGAUCUGACAAAUGUUAUAAGUACUACACUCAUGAACUUAUCAUCCAUCAACUUUGUCUUGCUCACUAUGCUUAAGGUUAGAGAAGAACAAAUACACUUUUGGUUCUGUUGGUGUUUUCCACCAACAGGACCCAUGCACUUGAUCCCUGCCUUGUCUCUAUGAGCAGGUACACUUCGAGCAAAACAUGAAGGAGUUUUAUAACUCUCAAACUCCACCAAGUGAAAGACCUAGAUCUUCGGGCACAAACACACUGAGCAAGAUACUGCCAACGCCGCACUUUGAACUGCUGGGCAAACGAAGAACAUGGGUGACACCGUAUCAAGAGGAGCAGACGUCAAGGUCCGCACCUGAAGAAUGAACACAAAUUCAAGGAUCAAAGAAGACUAGCAGACGGAGGACAUUCUAAUCGCUGUCAGGGUGCUACCGACAUUCAAAUACACCUCCACCAUCUGCUAGCUACGUCAAAUUCCAGCUUGGGGGAGAGCACCCCCAUUUAUCCAACUAAGUGUUUCUACUCGCGUUUAUACUUUACUCAAAUAAUAAAAAGAUGCAUAAUCAUAAAAAACCCAACUAAAGAUUUUAUGCUUAUAUAUAUAUCUUUUCUUAGUUUGCUAAAUAAAUAAAUAAAUAAAGUUUGCUAUGAAUCCUCAUGAUAAGCUCUCACAUGGAAAUAAUGAAUAGUUGCUCUGUCAUGACUAGUUCUCAAAAGUGAAAUCUCUCUCAAGUUUAGGUAUGACUGUGUUGACGGUAUUUAUACCAUGUUUUCUACUAUCAUAACCGUCAACAUAAGACUCAUUUUGGGAGAAAACAACCAAACAAAGUAGUAAUAUAGGUACAUAUAAACUAGUUCCACAUGUACAUGCUACUAUUUGGUUGCAGGAGUAAGAACAGGUACUUUUCAAGGGUCCAAACACUAAGAAGGGGUGAAUAACUAAAGAUCAGUGACACCAGUAACCAAGACAACAUUAUAGUCAUGAAGAGGAAGACAUGUAGGACAGGGCUGACACCCUAACCCCAUAGAAUUGGGGUCGGGCGACCCCACUUUGGUGGGUCCCAUAGGUCAGCUCAACUCCACCGACAUCAGAGAGCCUCCAGGACACUGCAGGUGGGCCCAACCAGCCAGAUAGGGGGUCGGCCGACCCCACUUCAUGGCGGUUCCAGGGUCGGUUGGCCUCCCACCGACCUUGCCCACAUGUUGCACAUGUUAGUUUGCCUCUACCGUUGAUCAGAUGGCGGUUGUGAAGUCGGUUUGAUCCAAUGGUGCAUGAUGAAGAUGACGCGGAUCGCUGACGUGGCACCGGAGUAACCCCUACUCCAUCUCCCACUAUAAAUACCCCCCUAUUCCUUCACUUAAGAGUCAUGUAUCUUAGGAGUAAACUACUUUAGUAGCUUAGUGAUAUCAUAGUGAGUAGAGAGUGAGGAGUUCCAAGGAGGAGUCCCGGCCUGUCGGGAGUCUUCUUCGCGGAGCACCUCAGCGGAAGCAGGUCUUCUUGUAAGUCUUACUUCUGAGUCUUUUCUAGUAUUUAAUAUUUGGUCUGGUACUUUAAGUAUAAGAAUCCUUUACUGGCACAUUGCUUGAUCUUGAGUGCUCUUAGCUUUAGCUAAGCUUAGGGUAGCAAGAGCUAGUUUAGACGUGGUGUCUAGACUACUUCUUGCCAGUGUGGACUCCUUGUCGCAGUUGUGUAGACACCUAGUGUGAGAGUGACAGUCCUCGCUAGGCGGAAAGUUCCUCGCAUCUGUUGUAGGCAAGUUGCAAAUAAUAGUUGGGCUGAGCAGGGUAGUCGCUUAGGAGACGAGGAGGUGAAAAACUUCGUUAACUCAAUCCUCCUUUUCGGGUAUCGCCCUCAGUAAAGAGUUAGGUGAAAAACCUUGACUAUACUUAAUUACCAAGACCAGGCAUUAAUACUAGUUAGACCUCUCUACCCCAUUAUCCUAGACCCUUUGAUCAUCACCUAACGAUCUAAAGCCUAGUUAAUUCACUUCGCGUUCCCCGUGGAAAUCACGAUACCUGGAAUACUCCCGGUGAAGGCUACAUUGACUACCGUACGCUUGCGGUAUAACCGUUUGCCACUUCUGGUGUCAACAAGCUUUCUGGCGCCGUUGCCGGGGAACGGUACCUGUUUUAACUAGGAAAAAAAAUCGUUAAGUUAUCUUUGUUUGAUUUAAAACUUUAUACACAUAUCCAAAUGGAUCAAACAACCCUCUUCGAUUACGCUGCUCCAACGGGCGCUGAGUUGGAGCCAGCGAGUUCAUCAAAAAGCCAUUUUGGCCUGUCACUAUGAGCUUCGCCCGAGUCUCAUAGCGAUGGUUCAGGAGAAUCCCUUUUCGGGAGAAGGAGAUGAAAAUCCUUACACACACCUACGAGAUUUCGAACAACUUUGUUCAUGCAUCCACAUCCAAGGGAUGAGGCGAGUUACCCUCAAGUGGAAGCUCUAUCCGUUCUCUUUGACGGGAAAGGCCAGACGGUGGUACACUCGCUAUGUAGGUAGUGUAGGAGGAGAAUGGGAAAAGCUGCAAGCCCAAUUCUGCCUCACCUACUUUCCCAUCUCUAGAAUAGCUCGUCUCCGUAGAGAAGUCCUAGACUUCAAGCAAGAAGGGAAGGAGUCUCUAGGUGCGGCCUGGGCGCGUCUCACCGACUUAACAUCAUCUGGCCCAGACUUAGGUAUAACCGAGCCAAUUCUUAUGCAACAUUUUUACCUCGGACUUAGCCAACAAUCCGCACAAUUCCUUGAUUUAGCCUCCAAGGGAGCAUUCCUUCAUUUACCUAUCAGUGAAGGUAAGGCCAUUCUUGGGACUAUUCUCGAGAAUACCCCUUACACUGAUGAUCAUAUUGAAGCUCCUGAGGAAGAUCGAACUCCUAGGGAUGAACCUUCGACAGCCAAAACUCCUUUAGCCGCAACCCAAGCUGUCGAACCUGAACCAAUACCACAAGCACCUCCAAGGGAAGAAGUAAUUCAUCCCUUGGAUUACCCACUUAACAUCGAGACUGAUCUAUUUGCCGAUUUUGGCAAUGUCUCGAAUCAACCUGUGCAAAGGAGAUCUACAGCACGCAGAGCUCCGAAUAGCCAUAUCCCAGCUCAUCUUGAGGCUGGUUACCUCAGGGCAACUGCCCAAGAACUCACGGCUAUUAUGAGUAAUGAAUGGGUUAGAGAAGCUGAGACAUCAUCUGAUGUCAUCAAACUUCUUUCGAGUUUUACACCCACUCCCUGUGUCAUAAACUCCACUCCUAUAGAAUCCCUUUAUGACCCUGCUGUAGGAGUAAGCCUAAUGUCCAAAUCAUUAGUACUGACACUCCUAGGCGAGGAACCAUUAACCCCGACCAGCAAAUUUCUUAAAUUACCCUCUGGGGAAAUGGUCGAGAGUUGUGGGAUUGCACAGAAUAUUCCUGUCUCCAUUAACAAAGUCAACAUUCUGCUAAACUUCUUUAUCUUUGAUAUGAAAGAAGUUGACUUGUUAAUCGGGCACCCCAUCAUGAGGUUCCUAAAUGGAUUUCAUGAAGGGCGUCUCAAGGGUAACCUCAGGAAGGGCUUAGACCUUUCUAUGCCUUUUGCCGGCUCUAUUAAUUCUAAAGCCGAGACCCCGCCCGAGCCUGACCCAAUAAAGGAGGUGAUGUCGGCAUCUCUUCUGGACGCUUCUCAGCCUGACUUAGAAGAAGACGCCGAAAACUUCAUCCAAGAAGAAGAGAACAAAUUAGAAGAACCAUUAGACUUGGAUGAAUCUAAACCACCACCAAAACCCUCUAUAGAACUUAAGCCACUUCCCUCUGGACUUAAGUACGCCUUCCUUAAUGGUGAUAGAGAGACUCCGGUAAUCAUUAGUGAUCAACUGACAGAAGAAGUCACCAAACUCAUCAUCGUCUUAGAAGAACGCCGCUCUGUCUUAGGAUACUCGUUAGAAGACCUUAAGGGAAUUAGUCCUGCACUCUGCACUCAUCGCAUCCCUAUCGAACCCGAUGCUAUACCUUCCAGGGAGCCUCAGAGAAGGCUAAAUAAUGCGAUGAGAGAAGUUGUGAAGAAAGAGGUCUUAAAACUAUUGCAUGCAGGCAUAAUCUACCCUGUUCCGAACAGUGAAUGGGUCAGCCCCGUUCAAGUAGUUCCUAAGAAAGGAGGAAUGACGGUCGUUAAAAAUGACAACAAUGAACUCAUUCCUCAACGGACUGUCACGGGAUGGAGAAUGUGCAUAGACUACCGAAAACUUAACAAGGCCACUAAGAAAGACCACUUUCCGUUGCCAUUCAUCGAUGAGAUGCUGGAACGGUUAGCCAAACACUCUUUCUUCUGCUUCCUUGAUGGGUAUUCGGGUUACCAUCAAAUCCCAAUCCAUCCCGACGACCAAAGUAAGACUACAUUCACAUGCCCCUACGGAACAUAUGCAUAUAGGCGCAUGUCUUUUGGCCUAUGCAAUGCUCCUGCCUCUUUUCAAAGGUGCAUGAUGUCCAUCUUCUCCGAUAUGAUCGAGGAAAUCAUGGAAGUUUUCAUGGACGACUUCUCCGUCUAUGGGAAAACUUUUGAUGAUUGCCUAAAGAACCUGGACCGAGUCUUACAAAGGUGCCAAGAGAAGCACUUGAUCUUGAACUGGGAAAAGUGCCAUUUUAUGGUUCGAGAAGGGAUAGUGUUAGGACAUAGAGUGUCCGAACGUGGGAUAGAGGUAGAUAGAGCUAAAAUUGAAGUUAUAGAACAGCUCCCUCCUCCCACAAAUGUUAGGGGCGUCCGUAGUUUUCUUGGCCAUGCAGGCUUUUAUAGAAGGUUCAUACAAGAUUUCUCUCAAAUUGCUAGACCUUUAACAAACCUGUUAGCUAAGGAUGCACCCUUUGAUUUUAAUGAUGAGUGCUUGGAUUCCUUUUACUAUCUUAAGAAAGCACUUAUCUCUGCACCAAUCAUUCAACCCCCUGAUUGGUCGCUACCUUUUGAGAUAAUGUGUGAUGCUAGUGAUUACGCUGUAGGUGCUGUCUUAGGACAGACUAAAGAUAAGAAGCAUCACGCAAUAUCUUAUGCUAGCAAAACACUAAUAGGACCACAGCUGAAUUAUGCAACAACUGAAAAAGAACUGUUGGCUGUAGUGUUUGCUAUAGACAAGUUUAGAUCUUAUUUAGUUGGAGCAAAGGUGAUUGUUUACUCCGAUCACGCAGCUCUAAAAUACUUGCUCACUAAAAAAGAUGCUAAACCAAGAUUAAUAAGAUGGAUCCUACUACUCCAAGAAUUUGACUUAGAAAUUAGAGAUAAAAAGGGAGAAGAAAACUCGGUAGCCGAUCACUUGUCUAGGAUGCAAAUCGAGGAUAAACAGGAUCCACCUAUCAACAACUACCUUCGAGACGACACACUCCUCCGAGUUUCAGAAGCCUACCCAUGGUAUGCAAACAUAGUCAACUACCUGGCGUCCGGAUACAUACCAUCUGGGGUAGACAAGAAGAAGCUUGUUAAAGAGAGUAGGGUGCACCUAUGGGACGAUCCUUACCUCUACAGAGUCUGUCAAGAUGGCAUACUCAGGAGAUGUGUUCCCAUGGACGAAGCAGUAAAAAUAAUGGAAAAAUGCCAUGGGGCAGAGUACGGAGGCCACUAUGGAGCAUUCAGGACCCAUGCCAAGAUAUGGCAGAGUGGAUUCUACUGGCCUACCAUGUACGAAGAUACAAAGAACUUUGUGAGGAGAUGUGCAAGGUGUCAGAAGCAUGGGAACAUCAAUACUCGUGAUGCAAUGCCACUCACAAACUUACAAGUCGAGAUAUUCGAUGCUUGGGGCAUAGACUACAUGGGGCCAUUCCCUUUGUCACAAGGGUGUGAGUACAUCCUAGUGGCAGUAGACUAUGUGUCCAAGUGGGUCGAAGCAAUGCCCUGCAGAGCAGCCGACUCUACACAUUCGAUAAACAUGUUCAAGGAAGUCAUAUUUCCACGCUUCGGCACCCCCAGACUAGUUAUCAGUGAUGGAGGGAGCCACUUCAUUGACAGAAGAUUCCGACGGUUCUUAGCUGAAGUGGGGAUAAGGCACAACAUUGGAACACCCUAUCACCCUCAAACGAGCGGACAAGCAGAAACAUCUAACAAACAAAUCAAGAACAUUCUGCAGAAGACUGUCACUAAGAUGGGAACCGGCUGGAAAAGCCAUCUACCAGAUGCACUUUGGGCAUAUAGGACCGCAUACAAGACCCCAAUUGGUAUGACACCAUACCAACUUGUAUACGGUAAGACAUGCCAUCUAUCGGUAGAGCUAGAGCAUAGAGCUCACUGGGCAAUCAAGAAAUGGAACAUGGAUUUGCCCUCGGCCGGAAGAAAUAGAAAGCUCCAAAUCUCCGAACUAGAAGAAUGGAGAGAUAAAGCCUAUCACAAUGCCAGGAUCUACAAAGAGAGAACAAAAAGAUGGCAUGAUAAAAGGAUCAAGCAAAAGGAAUUUCAUCCUGGGGAUAAGGUUCUCAUGUUCAACUCAAGGGUCAAGUUAUUUGGCCAUGGAAAGCUAAGGAGCAAAUGGGAAGGACCAUUCUUCGUUGUUGACGCCGCGACUCAUGGAGCGGUAACGCUGCGGGACGACGACGGCAACACCUUUAAGGUAAAUGGUCAUCGUCUUAAAGUUUUCCAUGAACAUGAACCUUUAGAAGAAGAAGUUGAUAUGAUAGAAUUUGAAUCUGACACAAAGUCUUAAAAUCCACAUGUCCUUCUUUUUACCCCCUUUUUUGUUUAAAUAAUUGCUAAAUCAAUAUAUUUAGUUCCUUUUUGUUUUGAAAUAGGUUUGUAAAGGGUUUUAGAUGACGUAGGAUCAAAGUUGGGCCGCCGAACACCCCAAAUGGGGGUCGGCCGACCCCUCUUCUAGGGGUUUUGGCCCAAGGGGGGAUAGGUUUAGAAAGAGGGGAAUGAAUAGAGUUCGGUGCUGAAAUUCAAAAUUCAAAAUCCUGAAAUAUAGGGGUCGCCCGACCCCAAUAUUUUGAGUUUUGAAAUCCCCUGGAGUCUCGGAUCGUCCCUCAAACGUUCCACGACGCUCCUUUUCAAAAUUCAAACUCUCAGGCUCCAAACACAUCUAUUUAUCCCCCCUCUUCUUCUUCUUCCUCCUCUCAAUUCAUUCCUUCUCAUCUUCACCUCGAACCAGACUCUCCUAGCCUCCAUUCCUUGCCAAGAGAUUCAUCUCCAUGGCUCCUCCAACUAAAUCUUCCAACCAAGCCAUUCGCUCCAACUCCCCACGUCCGCAAAGGUCUCUAACUGAGAGCCUGGAGCUUGCCCUAGCCGUCAACGUGCUGGAGCCUGAACCACUAGCCAUGGUGCCGCCGGCUGGAGGGCCGACGGGCAUCAUGUGGGGGUCGCCCGACCCCAAGAGGGGUCGCCCGACCUCGCCCCGGGUGACGCAGCGCUCCGCGUCGGCCUCUCGUUCGCUCACACCGCGCAGGGGCAUCGGCAAGUCCCCUACUCGAGCCGUAACGCCGGUUCGACCUACCACGGGCCAACUUGCGCUACGGGAGAAGGCGCCGAUGGCCACCAAGCAGGCCAUCACCAUCUCCUCCGACACGAUCCACACCUCUUCCUACUCGCCGUCCACCCCAACCUUUUGGAGGAACCACCAAGUGGUGGGCAGUGGGCCGGGAAAGGGGAAGGUGCUGAUCCCGCCGCUGAACUCUAAGGAAAAGAUGGAGUUGCGGGAGUCCUUUGACUCGUGAGCAAGUCCAUCCAUCCGGCGGAAGAUGGAUCCACCUCCGAUCAACGGUGCGCCUGGCAAAUACGAAGAAGAUCCAGAAAAAGGCGACAUCGAGAAGCUCCUGGAAGUCACAGCUAGCCUUAGAAAGAAAAAUAGGAUCUUAGAGGAGACAGUGUCGGAGCUCAGGAUGGAGAAUCUUGAGUUAGAAGAUCACUUCCGCCACCUGCGCAUUAGCACCAGCGCUAAAAUCAAGCGUUUGGCGCAAGCAAUUGGGCGGGAGGAUCUCCUCAAACCUCCAUCUCCCUAAAUAAAUUAGUUAGUUUAGGUUAUAGGCACUAUUUGAUUAUUUAGGUUUGAUUACUCAAUUUUAUUUUUCAAUUUGUCACUUUGAAUUUCGCAAUGUAAAAGUGCCUAUACAAUUGAAAUUUGAUUUAAUGGAGUCGUUUUUGGUCCUGCUGGUGUGUUGCCACCAGCAGGACAUCUGCAUUUGAUCGUCUCUCUCUGUUUUAAGUUCAGCUGCACGAAAACUGCAAGUGUGGGGGGGUCGCCCGACCCCCCAACUUCAUCUCUGAACUGCCGUGAGCAUGGAACAACACUGCAUACACCUUGGCACGUCAUGGCACCAAAAACAGGCGCGAUGAGGGGGUCGCCCGACCCCCUUUCUAUGGCAAAAGGAAACGACACAAGUGCAGAAAGACUUCCCGAGGGACGUAGAAUCGAGUGGCAGGGCCAGGAACCUCCAGGUGGGGUCGGCCGACCCCUCCAUAGAGCCCUGGGCCCACCAGGAAGCUUCUAUACGACGAAACACAUCUUUCCUGCCCGGUUUGCUAACUCUUCCCCCUCUCAGUCUGUCCAAUUCUUUACCUUUGUGUCACAAUUAAAAUAAAAUUUGAUAGUUUAAACUUGUUUGCAAAAUAAAAAGUGAACUGGUUCAUGAUUUAAGAGAAAUUGUGACAUAAAGUAUAGUUCUUACAAUUGUUCAUCCUCAUGGGUAAAAAUCUAUAGGAACCAUAUUGACUAAGUUGUUGAUGAAAGUGAUAUAACUCUUGGCUAAGAAUUCAUAACAUUUCUAUUCAAGGUACUUAGAGAUUUGUUUCAAAAAUAUCACAAAACCAUAGUAUCAUUUACUCCUCAUUAGCAAGAAAUUCCCACCAAAAGCCAUACACUUAGAUAUUCAAGUAACCAUUUUAUGAAAUGCAACCUGCUUUUGUAAUGAGUUUUGUCAAAACCUUGUUGACCCUAGUGAGAGUUGUAUCAUAGUCACAAGAUCAAGAUCACGUACACACCACAUAUAUAUAUGCUGCUUCUACACUGGAAGUACGCAACCACAUGUAUUGUGCAUCCACUAAAUAGGUUGCUCCAUACUCUAAGUGUUAGAACACCUCUCUAAAUAUUGUUUAGAAAAUGAGACAUAAAAGGCUUGGCAAAAUAAAAAAAAAAAUUGAGCACAUAAAGCUCGAAGAAAAAGAAAAUCUAGCCAUGUCUCAAUAUACAAGUAGAGAGAGUGUAGCAAAUAAAGGAGCAACCUAGUCCACCAUAUAACACACUUGCACAUCUUGAUCUAUGACUAUGACACUCCUCUCUUUGGAUCCUUGUUUUUGACUUAACAAUAUUUGCAAAGUAGAGUAUGCUACCUUGUUUAUCCCUACCAAGCCCCAUAUAAGCCUAUAGUCAUAGGAUGAAACAAGUUGGCAUUCAUGCCUUGGUGAGGACUACUAAAAAAAAACUUUGAGUGAUCUAGAGCGCUAAAUGAGGAGUAGGAUUGAACUAUGUGACUUAUUUUAAAAAGUGUCAUAAAAACUCUAAGUACCAAGAAUAUGAAAUUGGAAUUUGAUCUUGUUCUGAGAGUUGUUCCUUUUCUCAACCUCUGAAGGAUAUAUGCUAGACACUUACACAAAAACCCAUUUGGAUGAACUAUGUUCGAACUAGCAUUUUAUGCUCACUACUAUCUUAAGUUAGAAACCAUUGAUCACUCAUUUUUAACCUUUACUCGAGGACGAGCAAAGACUCAAGUGUGGGGGGUCUUGUUGACGGUAUUUAUACCAUGUUUUCUACUAUCAUAACCGUCAACAUAAGACUCAUUUUGGGAGAAAACAACCAAACAAAGUAGUAAUAUAGGUACAUAUAAACUAGUUCCACAUGUACAUGCUACUAUUUGGUUGCAGGAGUAAGAACAGGUACUUUUCAAGGGUCCAAACACUAAGAAGGGGUGAAUAACUAAAGAUCAGUGACACCAGUAACCAAGACAACAUUAUAGUCAUGAAGAGGAAGACAUGUAGGACAGGGCUGACACCCUAACCCCAUAGAAUUGGGGUCGGGCGACCCCACUUUGGUGGGUCCCACAGGUCAGCUCAACUCCACCGACAUCAGAGAGCCUCCAGGACACUGCAGGUGGGCCCAACCAGCCAGAUAGGGGGUCGGCCGACCCCACUUCAUGGCGGUUCCAGGGUCGGUUGGCCUCCAACCGACCUUGCCCACAUGUUGCACAUGUUAGUUUGCCUCUACCGUUGAUCAGAUGGCGGUUGUGAAGUCGGUUUGAUCCAAUGGUGCAUGAUGAAGAUGACGCGGAUCGCUGACGUGGCACCGGAGUAACCCCUACUCCAUCUCCCACUAUAAAUACCCCCCUAUUCCUUCACUUAAGAGUCAUGUAUCUUAGGAGUAAACUACUUUAGUAGCUUAGUGAUAUCAUAGUGAGUAGAGAGUGAGGAGUUCCAAGGAGGAGUCCCGGCCUGUCGGGAGUCUUCUUCGCGGAGCACCUCAGCGGAAGCAGGUCUUCUUGUAAGUCUUACUUCUGAGUCUUUUCUAGUAUUUAAUAUUUGGUCUGGUACUUUAAGUAUAAGAAUCCUUUACUGGCACAUUGCUUGAUCUUGAGUGCUCUUAGCUUUAGCUAAGCUUAGGGUAGCAAGAGCUAGUUUAGACGUGGUGUCUAGACUACUUCUUGCCAGUGUGGACUCCUUGUCGCAGUUGUGUAGACACCUAGUGUGAGAGUGACAGUCCUCGCUAGGCGAAAAGUUCCUCGCAUCUGUUGUAGGCAAGUUGCAAAUAAUAGUUGGGCUGAGCAGGGUAGUCGCUUAGGAGACGAGGAGGUGAAAAACUUCGUUAACUCAAUCCUCCUUUUCGGGUAUCGCCCUCAGUAAAGAGUUAGGUGAAAAACCUUGACUAUACUUAAUUACCAAGACCAGGCAUUAAUACUAGUUAGACCUCUCUACCCCAUUAUCCUAGACCCUUUGAUCAUCACCUAACGAUCUAAGGCCUAGUUAAUUCACUUCGCGUUCCCCGUGGAAAUCACGAUACCUGGAAUACUCCCGGUGAAGGCUACAUUGACUACCGUACGCUUGCGGUAUAACCGUUUGCCACUUCUGGUGUCAACAGACUGUUAUGAAUUAAGAUUUGCUCUAAACCUGAACUUGUGGGAAGAGUAGUUGAUCUAAAGUCUAAGUCGUCAACGGAUAUGAUAUGGGAAGGUUGAGCUGCUGUUUAUCUGUUCCUAGAGAUGCUAGAAUUCUGGAGAAUUUUAUCUUUGAAAAUCUUUAAAAUGUUGCUUGAUGAGUUCCUGUAUGAUGAGAGUUUAAAAUCCUACCACAGCCACAUAUACAUGCUUAUGAGACUAUGAACCAUACAUUUACUUUUUACUGCUUAUGAGCAUUGAGUGUGGUCAAGCUAUGUAGACCCUUAGGAGCUUGUCAUGCGGUUAAAAUCAAGAUUCACUUGCACGUUUACUCAUACAUGCUGCCUCUACUCUGGAAGUACACAUCCACAUACAUCCACUCAUUUCCAUCUCCAGAUUCACCCAAAAUUAUUCUACUCCUAUCCAAGAGAGAAUAGCCAAAAACAUUAUUCUAUCUCUGUUAUUCCCCGUGAAAUAAAUGCUCGAGAUAUUUUGGUUACUACCACUUGCUACAUUAUUCUAGGAGGGUGAGUACUCUGAAAGAAAGAAGUGAAUACGAGGAAAUAAAAAGGGGCAAGUGCCUAGAACCUCGAAGAAAAAGAAAAAGUGAGACGAGACGUAAAAAUGGACAAGUGUCUGACAAUAGAAUUAGGGGUACAAGAUACCCACCUGAGAGAAAAGAAAAAAAAAUAUAGAGCAUCUCAUUCCCCUCAAAAAGCUUCAAAGUGCAAGAAAGGUAUGUAUCCCCUCAAAAGAGCAAACGUAGAAUUAGAAUUUCACCAUUGUUUUCACCAUUAUCACCAUCAUCACCAUACACCAUUCAUUCGCCACACAUGCACAUCUUGAUUUGACUUAUUGACUUGUUUCUCUGGAUCCAUGGUUUGACUAUGCAAUAAAUGUCUUGUAAGUAUGUAUUAGCUGUCUCCCACCUAUGAGCUCCAGGUAUCAAACCUUAUUAGAAUAGGGUGAGAGAGAAGGCAAUAUCAUUAUGCCUCAUACCACAAAUACUACAUACUUUGAGAGAAGGCGUAUAUCAUCACUGCCUUGGUAAGGAUCCAGAAAUACCACAAAAGAGAGAUUUGAGAGAGUCAUACAAGGAAUCUCUGAGUUUUAUUUUGAAAAUCUACAAAAAAAACUCCAGAGAUAUAGUUGAUCAAAGAACAAGAGACAUGGUGCUUGACUUGACCGUUCUAUCUUUUAACUGCUCAAGACACAAGUGAUGGUUGCAAGCCCCAUGGUGGAAGGUAAUAUGAGUAAGUUUAAAUCUUAACAGUUUACCUUAAUGUAGAGAUGAGAUCUUGUUUGAAUGCAUGAGUACCUUUAAGGCAUAAAACCACUGCAAAAACUCUUGAGUCCAUCCUUGCUCAGGGAUGAGCAAGAGGUAAGCUUGGGGGAGUUGUUGACGGUCCUUAAGUACCAAAUAUAAUCAUCAAAUAAAUAAAGAAAAGGAUCCAAAUGCAACCAACACCUAGACUUAGGGUUUUAUCUGAUAGAAUUCCACGAGUUUUGGUGUUUGUCUAUUUCUGCAGGGGUUAUCAGGAAAUAUGGAGGAAAGGCCCACAUGUCGGGUUUACAUAGAAAUAUUAAUGUGUCGCGCAAUUUUCUAUCAUCUAGAAGACUCCAGAAGCCACGGGAACGAAUGGGAGGCCGAACGGGCCCGGGGGCAGGGCGCCCGCCCUGGAGUUUCAACCAAUCACGCACAAUCUCGCGGAUUAUGCUCCACCGACCUAAAGGACCAAGAAUAACCGUUCAAUCAAUGUCGGUUUGAUCCGACGGCCCAGGUUCACUUGAGGGGACUAUAUAAGCAGACCCCCUGGCCCCUGGAAGGAUAACCUUUCCUCUAAAUAGACUUAGGGCUUAGCAUCCAGUGUGAGAGUAGACUAGAUCUACUAGAUUGAGAGAGAUAGAACUUAGUGUAGUUCUAAAUAGACUUAGGUGUAGAUCGGAGGAAGCCCGGCCUGUCGGUGUCUACUCCGAGGUUGUACCUGCGGGAUCAAGUUCUCCUAAACCGAGGCUUGUGUUGACACUUACUAACACCACUUGAAUACUAGGUUGUCUCCCCAGCAUGGUGCCAGAGUGUACAAAGGUAUUUAUGAAUGUAAAGGCUCUCUAGAAAAUAAUCUAUUCUAUCCACAAGCACACAGAUAAAACACCUCAUUGUAGCAUUUCACCAGAAAAGUAUUCCAGGUAUCGUUAUUUAUAAUUUUGCUUACGAGGACAAGGGGGGUGAAGAUAAAAUCUAUCAAGGCAUAGACUAGAGAUAAACUUGCAAGAACAUGAUUACUAAUGAGGAACUCGUCACACAGUCACUUACUUUGGCAGGGGGUAAACCAUAAAGAUAAUGAUAAUGAAUUAUAAGUUCAUGGGUAAAUAACACAACGUUUAGAAAAUAGACUACUCCUCAUAUAUGUAAGGUGACGUCGGAUUAGCUAGAGAAUAGAUUCUAAGUUAUCUACUAUCUACUAAGUCACAAUCUACUCUAGUUAUCUACAAGAUCAUAUAUAGUAUAAAAGACUCUUCAUUCAUGUAUAAGGAACAUUGCUAAAGUAAAUCACAGCAUCGCAAGACUUACUCCGCAAUACAAAUUCUGCCUGUCCUAUCAACGGAGGGUGGACUAUAUAAGAAUCAACGAAGCUAUCACUAUCGUGAACUACCACACGACCCGGCCAAUAGGAUACAUUUGCAGGUAAAUAACAUCUAAGCACCACGCCCACAUGUGAUCUACCACUUAACUCCCACGUGUCAAGAGCUAAGCGCUUUGCAAACUUAUACAUAAACUCAUUAGAGAAAUAAUGCAAUUAGAACAAAGUAUUAGAGAAAUAUUUGAAAUAAUGCCAAUCUUUAUUAACGAAGAUCCGAAUCCAGAGCGUAGUGCUCUACUUCUCUAAUUCCUAUCUAAUCAAUCCUCUAAACUUGAAGGAUUAGGGAGUAGCUAAUUCUAAUUCUCUGUGGGAGAGAAGUCCUAAAACCCUAACUUUGAUGGCUACCUCUGAUAAUGAUUUUCUCCUCUCUCCCUAGGGUGGAGAGGCCUUGAUUAAAUAGUCCUUUCAACUGAAUUUGGGCCGUCGGAUCCAACCGACAUUGAUCGCACGGUUUUUCUUGAUCCUUUAGGUCGGUGGAGCACGAUCCAAGAGUUUGGUUCUGAUUGGCCCCGAGGCCAGGGCGGGCGCCUUGCCCCCGAGCCCGUCCGGUCUCCCGUUCGUUCCCGUGGCUUCUGGACUCUUCUAGAUUAAGGAAAAUUGCGCGGCACGUAAUUAUCUCGUUGUAAACAUGACAUGUGGGCCUUCUCUCCAUAUUUUCUGAUAACCCCCUGCAGAAAUAGACAAACACCAGAGCUCGUGGAAUUCUGUCAGAUAAAACCCUAAUUCUAGAUGUUUGGUGCGUAUUGAUCCUUUUCCAUGUUUAGUUGAUGAUUAAAUUUAGUACUUAAGGACCGUCAACAAACUCCCCAAGCUUACCCUUUGCUCGUCUCUGAGCAAACAGCUAAACUCAGAUGGAUCAGGAGUUUCUUCGAUGUUUUCUUUCCUGACAGGCAACCAUGCUUUCAUAUAUAAUUCUUCCAGAUUAGAGUGAAGUGUCAAUGAGCUUAGUACCUACACUUAAGUCUUAAGUAAUCGAAAGAAAAAAUAAUUAAGUCAAGCACUAUCCCUCCUGUCUAUACUUCACUUUUGUUCCAGAGUUUUUCAUAAGUUUUCAAAAUAAAACUCAGAGUUCCUAGCAAUGAUUCUCUCAAGUCUCUCUACAUGUGGUAUUUGUGGAUCCUUACCAAAAAUUUCACUUACCUAUAGCUAAUGGAAUGUUUAAGUGGAGCUCAUUGGAGUGAAAAACAGCUCAUACAUAUGUUGUCUAAUCGAGCCAUGGAUCCAAAGGACCUCAGCAUAUAAUUAAAUCAAGAUGUGCAUGUGUGGUGGAGUAAAUGAUAGUGAUAGUGAAAAUAUAUACGUAAUGAUAAAACUUACUUCUCAUUGCUCCUCAUAUUGCUAUCUCUCCUCUUCUUUGAUCUUUGCUUUGGGAGAACAUGGGCUAUCUUUUCUCUUCUUUUUUUUCAGGUGGGUAGUAGAUACCCCUAAUUCUACCGUCGGACACUUGUCAAUUUUUUCCACUCAAGUGGGCAUCAUUAUACUCCUAAUUCUACUCUGGACACUUGUCCAUUUUUACCUCUCGUCUCACUCUGUUUCUUUCUUUUUCGAGGUUCCGGGUACUUUCCCCUUUUUAUUUCCUCGUAUAUUUUUGCAUAACCCAUGCCUCUUCUGCAUUGAAUCAUUUUAGAGAGAGAAUAACAAUACUUGGGACAGUGAGUGAUAAUAAUAUUUUUAGCAAUUUUAAUGAAUGGUGGUUGAUGGUGUAGUAUAUGUGUGCCAGUGAAUAUCUUAAUUUAACCACAUGAAAAGCUCCUAAGGGUCUACACAGCUCGAUCAAACUCAAUGUGAAUAUAGUAAAAGAUGUUAUAGCAAGUAUGGCUGUGGUAGGAAGUUUGUUAUGCCAGGAACUCGUCAUGUGAUAUGUAAGUUUUCAAAAUAAAUCUCCAGAACUUAGUGUAGUAGGAACAAGAUAAAUAGUAGCUCAAACUUUAUAUCAUGCCUUUCUCUUACCUAGACUUUAGUUUUAUGUUUCCCAUAGAUAGUAAUUUCAGUUUUAGUAAUUUCUGGAAGAACUCUAAUAUAAAAGCUAGGUACUUGAAAGUAAGCAAACAGAGCAACUGUUCAUCAUUUCCAUCAUGCAUCUUUUUGGUCUUUUUAUUUUUUCUAGAGAUUAACACUUAGCAGAUAAAUAAAACACACUUAUCUACACACUCUUUUUAUUUUGUUUUCAUGUUUAUAAAAUGCAGUAAUUUAAAGUAAGAAAAUAUUUAUUGGGUUUUCUAAGUUUUUCUUUUUAAGAUUAAAUAUUAAAAUAAAUAAGAAGAGCAAAAUAAAAACUUACUUGAUAAAACGGGGAGGAACUCCCCCAAGCUGGAUGUGGUUGUCGGUCUUACCCAAUGUUCCAGAAUCGCAUCAUGGUGGUGAUGUUGUCGUUCAUUGUCGUGGCGUCUUGUCUCAGUUCUUGUACUGCAGUGGCGUGUUCCUGGUUCCAUUUUUGUUGCUGUUCCAAGAGUCGUCCAUGUUCCGCUUGCGUAUUCUGGAUGUUGAGGAGGGUGUUGUCGGUACGGGUGAAGAAAGCGUCGGCCUCUUGGUAGUAGUCGUUCGUGAAAGCAUAAGAGGCGUCGGAGUAUCGUCCUCCAUCAAAUUGGGGCGGAGGUCUGGAUCCUAAAGCUCCAUAUGGAUCAGUGGAGUACCUGCCCGUAUGGAAAGGCGGGUUUGUCCACUGGUGAUCUUAGCUCUCCAGCCAUGUCUCCUGUGUUGGCUCUUGUGGUUGAGCAUGUCGAACCCAUGGGUCUCGAAGGACUUGGGGGUUGUAGUCACAAUAAUGCAGGUGCCCUGCUUCUUCGGGCCCAGGAUCAGCUCCAUACCAGGUGCGUUCUCGAUGGGUGGUCAUCCUUUCAGAUGCCACUCGUUGUGGAGCUCUCUGGUUUACCGGUGUCACUGCAAUUUCAAUCAAGUAAUUUUGAACAACAUAGUGGCAAAGGUUUGGGUUAGGUAACCGAAUCUUGCCUUUGUUAUCGUAUAACAUAUACAUUAUAUUCCCCUCUUUUUUCAACAUCCGAGCUUGCCUAAAUGUGUCAUAGCCAUGAUAAAUCCGUAACUCAUCUAUGAAUUCCAAUGAUGAGUUUUCUAGUAAAUGAAGACUAGAGGCUAGACGAGUGAUAAGUGAAGUACACCCUACAGGUCCCUGAAGACUAGGUAUACUAAGCCAAUGAGAAACCAAAAGUGUAACAGGUAAAGUGGGAACUUUAUUUAUGGCAGCAUAUAGAAGUUGUAAAUCUCCUACUCUUACUUUUCUAAUAUCAUCAUGAUGGAAAAGAUUGUACCCGAGCCAUUUGUGGAACAUCCUAAGAGUGGGGUGUUCAAUGUCACUGGUUCGGGCUUGACUAUAAAAAUCAUCUCUAGAUAUCUCUCUCCAGAACUGGUGCCUCUCAAAAUUAGGUAGGUCGGAGUCAAUGUUCAAGAUGCAUCUUGAAGAGAAACUGAGAUGGUCGCUCAAUUCUCUCCAAGAUAACAUAAUGUCCUGUUUGAACAUCCGAAAAACAAUUCCCCUCAUAAUAUUGUAAAGUGCAAAGAAAUUCAAGGGUGAGAAGACGGGAACCCAGCUCAGUUAUGUUCCAAAAAUUUGUCCAACCUAACAUCUGGAAAAUUAAGUCGAAUUCAGUAUCCAUACCUAUUUCUUGUAGCAAGAUUGGAUCAAGAGUAGGUGUGUGAAUGAAAUCUUUGUUCUUUAGCUGCUGGUAAACUUCCUUUUCCCUGCGGGUCUUCAGUCCAAGGUCUCCUAUCUUGAGAAGGACCUUGACUUGUUGAUCAGAUGAAGAUGACGGAGCUUGUGUGGGCGUCGGGUCGAUGCUCAUCUCUGAUGGGUGCGAGGAGUGUCGGGAUGAACUCCUUGUACCUAUGUUCUUGAGGGCCUUCCCUGUGUUCUUCACCUUCUUGAACAUCCUGUAGAUAAAAGUUGACACACACACAACUAGUGGAAAAUGUGAGAGAAAAUGUUAGUGGUCAGCUGUCCGAAAUGUCGGUAGUCUAGGGGUUAGUCGUUCAAGACAAGUUUUUAUUUUGGCAGCACCUCCCCCUAAACAACUUUUACUUCCGCUUUGGACAGCGGGAUCACUACUUACUAGGUGAACCUCACUCUCUUACUCAGAGACUACCAAUCUCUCUUCCACUCUUCUCUUCCUCUCUACUCUCCUUCUCAAUUCACUAUAAGAGCUCCUUCUCUGGAAACUAAAACUUGCGUGGUUUUCUGGAAUACUUGUGUGAAGAAGAUGGAGGCAGGAGGUGGCAAUUUAUAGGAGGAAGGGGGGACAGGGCGGGCGCCCUCUAUAGGUGGGCGGGCGCCCACUUUUGGUGGCCAUCCUUGCUUCCCUUUCUCCACUCCCUCCUUUGCUUAGUCUUUAAGACAAAAAAUAAUUCAAUGGUGGUGGUUGGUCGGUGGAAAAGUGCUGGUGAGUGGAGAUAUGUUGGUGGAUCAAAUAAUGUGAUGGGAUGUGUGUGAGGUGUGGUGUAUGACAUGUGGGACCCAAGGAGUGUGGGUCAUGCUUCUAGAAGGUUGCUAUAAUUAAAUAUAAUGCAGAAAAAUCUAUGAGAAUUGAAACAUAUUGAAAUGAUAAAAAAUAUUUUUGUGCCUCCACAAUAAUUAAUAAAUAUGGGUUGUUACACACCAUAAAUAUUAUUUAUAUGGGGCUUUUCAUUAUUAUAAUAAUGCUAUGAAUAAAUAUGACUAAUGCAGAAUUAAUUAUGCAAGAAUUUAAACAAUGUGGAUAAAUACCGAUUUACCUCCCGGCGAGGGUUUGGGAUUUUUAGGUCCUCCAAGCUGGACCUCCAAAUCUUUUAAUCUUCUGAAUUACCUUCCUCCGGAGAUGGUGUCUCUAGUGGUUCUUCUACAUGAACUUCCUUCACUGUAGAGUCUCUCUCUGGUCUGGGCUUGAAUGUGAAGUAUUCUUCUUUUCCCUUUAUGUUGAACUUGAUUUCUCCCUUCCCGACAUCAAUGUGGGCAUUGGCAGUGCUCAGAAAUGGCCUUCCAAGGAUGAUGGAUAAUUUUGAGUCAGGACUCAUGUCCAGUACCACGAAGUCUACUGGCACAAGGAAAUCUCUGAUUUUGACUGGAAUGUUUUCGGCGAUGCCCAACGGGUGUCGAACCGAUUGAUCUGCUAAUUGUAGGCACAUUGAUGUUGGUUUUAGGGUCGCAUGCUCAAACUUCUCGUAGACUGAUGCUGGGAUCACACUGACACUUGCUUCGAGAUCACAAAGUGCAUUAUUGAAGUGUUGGUUUCCGAUCGAGCAAUCAAUAGUGGGGCAUCCUGGAUCCUUUUUCUUCCUUGGUGGUUUAUUGAGGAUGGCCGCACUACAUUCUUCUGUCAGCUUGAUGACCUCAGUGGUGGGCAGUGGUCUCUUCUUGUUAAGAAUAUCUCUGAUGUACUUUGCAUAUGUGGGUACCUGCAUGGCAUCAAGCAGAGGUAUGUUGACAUAUAAUUUCUGAAUGACCUCUAAAAACUUACCAAACUGCUCAUCUGACUGCAGUCCUCUGUUUCUUCUAGGAAAUGGCAAAUAGUUGGUGUCGUAAAAAUCUUUCCUCAUUUCUCCAGUUCUUGGUGGUUGUAGCAGAUCUUCUGCUUCAACUGGGCUUUCUUCUUCUAUCACUGCUGGUUGCACUAGUGCUGAUGUUCUUUGUUUCUCUUUUGGGUAUAGGGGAUCCCUAGUGGCUUUGCCUCCUCUAGUAGUUAUGUUCUUUACCUGCUCAAUGUUAGUAGCAACAGGCAGUGCAGCAGCUAGCUUUAUUAAUUUAAGCUCUACCUUUUUAUUAAGAGUGUUUUGCUCAUGAAAGGCAGUUAAUAGAAAAUCCAUUUUAUUGUGUAUAUCUUUUAGAGACGAUUCAUUUGUGCCUAGCCUUUGUUUAACUUCAUCAUUAGUUUUGGUUUGUUGAGCAAUUAUCUCUUUUAAUGAAAGUUGCUUGAAAGUAUUACCUGAAUUCAUACCUUUGCUAUUGGGUUGACUUGAAUUAGGUUGAUAUUUGUAUGCAAUGGCUCUUUGAUCUUCUUUAAACUUGGCCCUCUGGUCAAUCCAAUGGAGCAAAUUUUCCAUCUUGGUUGAUAAUGCAUUUACUUCUUCUGGUAAUUCUUCAGUUUGAUGACAUUGUUGAGCUUCAUCUUGGAACUAGCUUUGGUUUUCUGCUAUCCUAUCCAAAAGUAUCUCUGAUCUUCCAAUUAUAAGCUCCAAGAAUGAUCCUUCAGCAGAUGCAUCUAGGCACUCACGAGCCUUCUGGGUUAAUCCAUGGUAGAAGGUCUGCAUAAGUAACCAUGUGGCCAUUCCAUGGUGAGGACAAUCUGAUAUGUAUCCUUGAAAAUGCUCCCAUGCUUCUGAAAUGGUUUCUGUCUUCUGCUGUUGGAAACUGACAAUAUUUCCUCUUAAGGCAGUUGUUCUGCCUAUAGGGAAAAACUUUGAUAGAAAGGCAUCUGACAAGUUCGUCUAGUUGUUGAUGUUAUCUUGAUGAGUGUAGAACCACUUCCUCGCUUUCCCUUCUAGUGAGAAUGGAAAAAGGCGAAGCAGUAUGACGUCUUUGUCGACUCCAUUGAUGUGGAUUGUGCUUCCAAUCUCUAAGAAAUUUUGCAAGUGUGCACUAGCAUCUUCAUGUGCCUUUCCACUGAAUUGUGUAGCUUGCACCAAAUUGAUGAGGCUUGACUUGAGCUCAAACUCGGGUGCUCCUUCUUCUACUGCAAAUCUUGGACCAGUUGGAAUGUUCUCAAAACUUGGAGCAGAGAAUUCUUGCAAGGUCUUUUGUGCCAUAGCUUCAGCAAUUGGUAGCUAGCUUCUUCUUUCUUUCUUGAUUGCUUUAGUUCUGAUGAUGAAGAGUUGAAUGUACCCAAAGUCAAUCCUGAUAUACCCUGUAUAAAAAUGUAAACAUAGAAAAACAAUAUGGUGAACCUGCCAAAGCAGAGGUGCCUUGUUAUGAUUUCUCACUUAGUAGCUGUUUUAUGCAAUUAUUUCUCUAUAGUCUAGUCUAAUAUUUUAUAUGAAUAACAUUGACUGAUUUCUUGACUUUUCUUACCCUUCCUAUAUGUUUCCCUUUUUAUGUGUUUUCCUUUUUGUGUUCCCCGGAAACGGCGCCAGAAAUGCUUGUUGACACUUACUAACACCACAUGAAUACUAGGUUGUCAUCCCCAACAUGGUGCUAGAGUGUACAAAGGUAUUUAUGAAUCUAAAGGCUCUCUAAAAAAUAAUCUAUUCUAUCCGCAAGCACACAGAUAAAAUACCUUAUUGUAGCAUUUCACCAGGACCAGGUAUCGUUAUUUAUAAUUUUGCUUACGAGGAAAAGGGGGGUGAAGAUAAAAUCUAUCAAGGCAUAGACUAGAGAUAAACUUGCAAGAACAUGAUUACUAAUGAGGAACUCGUCACACAGUCACUUACUUUGGCAGGGGGUAAACCAUAAAGAUAAUGAUAAUGAAUUAUAAGUUCAUGGGUAAAUAACACAGCGAUUAGAAAAUAGACUACUCCUCAUAUAUGUAAGGUGACGUCGGAUUAGCUAGAGAAUGGAUUUGAAGUUAUCUACUAUCUACUAAGUCACAAUCUACUCUAGUUAUCUACAAGAUCAUAUAUAGUAUGAAAGACUCUUCAUUCAUGUAUAAGAAAAAUUGCUAAAGUAAAUCAGAGCAUCGCAAGACUUACUCCGCAAUACAAAUUCUGUCUGUCCUAUCAACGGAGGGUGGACUAUAUAAGAAUCAACGAAGCUGUCACUAUCGCGAACUACCACACGACCCGACCAAUAGGAUACAUUUAAAGGUAAAUAACAUCUAAGCACCACGCCCACAUGUGAUCUACCACUUAACUCCCACAUGUCAAGAGCUAAGCGCUUUGCAAACUUAUACAUAAACUCAUUAUCAAUUAUAACUAUAUCAAAUAUAGAACUAGAGCAAACUUAGAGCAUAAUAAAUAGAGACAUAAUGCAAUUAGAACAAAGUAUUAGAGAAAGAUAUGAAAUAAUACCAAUCUUUAUUAACGAAGAUCCGAAUCCAGAGCGUAGUGCUCUACUUAUCUAAUUCCUAUCUAAUCAAUCCUCUAAACUUGAAGGAUUAGGGAGUAGCUAAUUCUAAUUCUCUGUGGGAGAGAAGUCCUAAAACCCUAACUUUGAUGGCUACCUCUGAUAAUGAUUUUCUGCUCUCUCCCUGGGGUGGAGAGGCCUUGAUUAUAUAGUCCUUUCAACUGAAUUUGGGCCAUCGGAUCAAACCGACAUUGAUCGCACGGUUUUCCUUGAUCCUUUAUGUAACAGAACCGACCAAAUUAUAAGAGAUUAAGCCUAAUAGUGACCAUUUGCAUAGUCGAACUAUCACGCUUAAGCCCAUACAAUCCCGGUAGUCCGUGAAAUCUCGAUGGAUUUCAAACCACACAUCACAUAACAGCCAAGAUCGUAAUAAGUUUACCGGUCGCCAUCCACAAGUACAUCCAGAUUACAACAUUCAUAAAAUACAUCGGAGUGCUUAAAGUUAUUACAAACCAAGUUCUUCAAGUUGCGGAAGCUUCAUAGUUUGAAAUUACAACACACACGAUAAGUCUGAUACAGUGCCAUAGUUCGGUCAUUCCCACAAAAGCAAAAGAAGAGACGGAGUGACCAUCGCCCUUGGUCUAGUCAUCACCCAUAGUUGGGUACAGACAGAGGAUGCAAUAACCAUAGUACAUUUGACCAUCUGCAAAACAACAUGGGAAUAGAACCCUGAGUACGAGAAGGUACUCAGCUAGACUUACCCGUCAUAAACUUAAAAUAAAGACUCAUCAAGGAUCAUGAAGGCUAUAUAGUGGGAUAACUGACGACCAUUUUGCAAAACCGCAGUAUUUCGCUAACACAACCUACAUAAGUCUUUCUUCUUUUAGUUGGCUCAAGUUGAAAGUAUCAUUACCUAUCGUCUAGGUUUGCAUCUGCACUAUUACAAGCAAGUAGGAGACUAUGAUAGUACCUCAUCAUAGUAUUUCUUAAAACUAUUCAUCAUUAUAACCCAAGUGUUCCAUAGUCCUUACUACGAGGACAGGGCUCAUGUCAAGUGCUCACUAUCCAGGAGCGAUGGCGAUUCGAAUCGAUUUCUAACCAGCUGGCGAAUUUAUUCCCCACACAAACCACACUCACUGAUCAAGUGAGCUACAGGUCACCGUGUUGCACUAUCCAGGACCAAUUCGCAGGUUCGACAGGCACCGCCCGUACCCGAGGACCGUUCCGGCGACCGAGGUAUCCAAGGUAUACCAAGGUUGCGCGCCGCGCCCUCGUCGUUCUCCUCAACCAUCACCAAUACAGCGCGUACAUCGGGCCGAUUCCCGGCCCGGAUAGUGCUCAGGCUUCGCGGUCGGAACGACUUAUCCUUCCAGCUAAAUGUGGGGCAUGCGUUCAACAUGACAAGAGGGCCAUCAACGAUCGGUCCUUAAUCGACACAGGCAGGGGCUCUAUGGGCAACCCACCAUAAGACCCUGCCCGGUCUCCAAUUACAGUUCACACUUGGUUAUUUCUUUCCCCAAGCAACCACUGCUUAAUCAAGCAGGUAUCCACCUAUAUCUCGCAAGUGACAGGACAUCACCCGACUUCUACCGGACUAAGCAAGCUAAGCAUAGACUCCGCGCCUAUCUACAUAGGACAAGGUAGAUAAACGAGUAGGGAUAACAAGGAGUACAUAUGCAGCAACGGUAUCAGGCAACUCCUAUCACUUAAUAUGCAAUACAAUAGAACAAGUAUAACACUUUAUAUAAGUUAGCGAGAAUAGGGAGACUUAGAAUGCUCCGGGGCUUGCCUUUCUCAAAGGUGCUGGGUCGGUGAUCCGGACACUCUUGCAAUUCCUCUCCGGUUUCCUGUGCUUCCGGAGGUUCCUGCUCCUGUAUCUCCUCGGGUUCCUCGGGUCCCACUUCGUUCUCCUGCGAGCCUGUAUGAUGCAUAUAUGCUCAUGAGUGGAGUGCUAGAUGCCCGAGUGGAUGCUUGUAUGAGAAAGUACCAAAGGACCAUGACAUGAUGCAUGGAUGAUACACUUGGUCAUGUUCAUUACAAUGUAUGCAACAUCAUCCAAGAACAGGCACUUGGAUUAAGCAUCUAUUGCAUUCUCUUCUACAAUUAUUUUUCAAAUGAAAUCAGCAACCUACAUGAUGCUUCAAAGAUACACCAAACCCAACUUAGUCCAUUCAACUUACAUACACAACCAUUCAUAAUUUUCUUUAUUCAUUUCUAAGCCCAUUAAAAAUCACAUGCAAUUCUGUUCAUCUAUAAAUUCCAGAAAAAUUACAGGAGACUACUAGUUAAUCAUAAAGUCUACUGUAAAUUUUUCAUAAUUUUUGGUUACUUAUUUUGAGCCACAAAAAUCACAAGAUUAAUGGAUAAGGCAAGUAUAAUCACCCUACUGUGAUAUAAGUGUCAAACAACAGAUUUCAUAUUUUUACAAUUUAUCUAAUAUCAUAAGAAACACCCACAAAAUUUUCCAGAUUUAUUGCAUGACCCAUUUAAUUAUUAAAAAUCAUAAAGCACUGCCAUGCAAGCAUUUAAAUUACCAUAAAUUCAUUUAUACACCAAAUAAUAUGUAACAAUAUUUUCUCAGUGAUUAAACACACAUGCAGAGCCAGCAAAACAAGUUUUACAUUUUUCUGAACCAUAUUUUAUUUACUAUGCAUUUUCCAAGUUUAGGGAAAACAUGGAUUAAUUAUAUUCUUACAGGAAAGUUACUCAAACAUGACAUGCAAUCAUACUAGGCUAUAGAUCUGGAAAUAAGGAACACACCAAAAUUUAUUUCACUAUUUUUGGAGCUAUAUUCAUCAAGAUAUGGAUUUUUGAACAUUUAAAUCAUUUCCUGGAAAAACUUUUAAAACGGAAAACCACCUAAAACACUAAACGCACCCGGAUCCAUUCCCUCGGAGUCACUGACAGGCGGGACACGCGAGUCAGAGGACCCCACCUGUCAUCCACCCCGUGACCCCGCGGCCAAAGAUCGACCGGAAUCUCGCCGCCGGUGAGGUUUCCGGCGACACCGUGAGCACCUACGGCUUCGCGCGAACGAGACGAGUCCAGCCGUACCCUCUUUGGCACCGGACGAGCACCGGAACUACCUCGCCGUCGUGAAUGGCGGACGCGGCGGCGCUGCUCGCCGUGGUCCGACCGUUUCACGGCGGUAGAGCGUGAGCUAGUGACGGGAAAAGGUGCGCGAGGUCAAGGCGGACCCAAAGCACCUACGAGCGCAAGCAGAGACAGAGAGGAGAGGGAGAACCGCGCGAGCCGAGAGGUCGCCGGAGCUCCGACUUACUCCGGUGAGCUCUAGCGGACACGCAGGGCUUACCGAGCACGGAAGAGCGCAAGCACGCGACGCGGAAGGACGAGGCGGAGCCGGUGGUGGUCGCGAAGGGGAAGGAGAGGGCCGGAGCUGGCCGGGAGAGGAGCUCCGAGCCGUCGGCGGCUAUGGCGUGCGGCGGAGCGGCGAGCGCUGCGCGAGAGCGAGCAGAGAGGCGAGAGCGAGCGGUGGAGGGCGCAAAUGGGAGCGGGGGCUUCGGCGGGCGCGUCUAGGGGCUCCUGGUGGCCGACCAGGGCGUCUCCACGCCGUCGCAUACCCGCCACGCGGCGGCCAGGCUCUGCCGGCGCGCCACGGCGGCACGGCGAGGCCGUCCGCGCGCGCGGACGCGGGCGCGAGCGCGAGGAGGGGGAAGGGGAAGGCGCGGGCGGGCCAGGCCGACUUCGGCCAGCGGGCCAGAAGCGAGGCCGCGGCCUGCUAGCGCCCCCUUUCCCUUUUCUAUUUUUUUUUUUUUAAUUUCUUUUCUCAAAUCCUCUUCCAAAAGCAUUUUGACCAUUUUGAAAUCAUUUUCACCAUUUUCACCCAAAAGCAAAGUGGUGCCAAACUAAAAGCUCUACAACUUUGCUUUAAUAGGUAAGACCAAAUUCUAAAUAGAAUUUGAAUUACAAAUUAAAACUUAGUUCUAGGUUUUUAAAUAAAGUUAUUUUGGGAUAUUUUGUAUAAAUUCCAUUUCUCAAUUUCCAUAGCUCCAAAAAUUGCACAAAAAUGUUCUUAAUUCUUCUUACACAUAAACCAACCUAGUUUGAAUAUUUCACAAUUUUUGAAGCAAGCACCACAUUUUUAACAUAUUUAAAACUUAUGAAAUGAUGCACAUAAAAUCAUAUUCUUAGAAGAAUAACAUGCUCAUGAUGCUUAUGAUUGAUGAGAGUGCUUAUGCAUGACUUUGAUGAGACUAAGUGCAUGCUUAACACCUAGGGUGUUACAGCCCUUCCCCCCUUAGGGAAAUCUCGUCCCGAGAUUUUGGGUUACUAACCAUUUCUUGUGAAAUUUUGGAUAAACUGUUUUUAAGUAAUCCUCUGUUUCCCAAGUGGCAUCCCUAUCGUCAUGAUGACUCCACACCACUUUAUAAGUUCUGACAACUUUGUUUCGAGUUACUCGCUCCUUGGUAUCCACAAUCCCCACUGGCUGCUCCUUAUACUCUAGGUCUGCUUUUAUCUUGAUCCCUCGAGGUUCAAUUCUUUGCUCAGGCACUUUCAAACAUUUCCGUAGUUGCGACACAUGGAAGACCGGAAAGAUCGAGCUCAUCUCUUCAGGUAACUGAAUCUUAUAGGCCACUGGGCCUUUCCUCUCUAGCACUUGGUACGGUCCCACAUAUCUGGGUGCAAGCUUGCUUCGAACUCGGAAACGUUGAACUUUCUUCAUUGGCGUAACCUUGAGGUACACAUAGUCACCUAUGUUGAAUUCAAGUGGCCUUCUUCUCUUAUCCGCAUAACUCUUUUGUCGUGACUGUGCCGCUUGCAUAUGCUGCUGUAUGAUAUGCACCUUUUUCUCGGCAUCAUUCACAAAGUCGAUACCAUAGUAUCUUCUUUCACCAGGUUCAACCCAGUUUAACGGAGUUCUACAUCUUCGACCAUACAGAGCUUCAAACGGGGCCAUCUUGAUGCUCUCUUGAUAACUAUUAUUGUAGGAGAAUUCAGCCAGCGGUAACCACGACUCCCAUGAUCCCUUGGAUGAUAACACACAGGCCCUCAGCAUGUCUUCUAACACUUGAUUUAGCCUCUCGGUUUGACCUGAAGUCUGGGGAUGAUACGCCGUGCUUCUUAUCAGACUGGUCCCCAAGCUCUUAUGCAUGCGCUCCCAGAAGUGAGCGGUGAACUGCGGUCCUCUAUCUGAUAUGAUUGUCUUGGGAAUACCAUGCAACUUGACAAUCUCAGCCAUAUAUAUAUCGGCAUACUCAGGAGGUCGGUAACGAGUCUUCACAGGGAUGAAAUGGGCCGAUUUGGUCAAUCGAUCUAUGAUUACCCAAAUCGAGUCAUUCCCCUUCCUGGUUGUCGGUAAACCCGUGAUAAAGUCCAUACUGACCUCUUCCCAUUUCCACUCCGGAACUGAUAACGGUUGCAACAGACCUGCAGGUUUCAUAUGGAUGGCCUUAACCCUGCAACACGUGUCACAACGGGCCACAUAAGCUGCUAUUUCUUUCUUCAUCUUGGUCCACCAAAAGUGGGGCCUUAGAUCUUGAUACAUUUUGCUACUGCCAGGAUGAAUAGAAAGCUUAGAGAGAUGGGCUUCAUCCAUGAUGCGAUUCUUCAACUCCCGAUCUUUCGGGACCACUAACCGCUGUUGAAACCACAGUACCCCCUUCUCAUCAACCCGAAACUGAGUCCUUGGGUCAUCUUUGAUCUUUUCUUUGAUAUGGAAGAUACCCUUGUCUGUUUCCUGACCUUCAAUGACUUGACUCUCGAGUGAACAACUGAGUUGUAUAUGACAUAAGACCUCAGGAUGCAUGAGAUUGAACCCAUCUUCAAACAACGGUUGAACCACUUGACAGUGUGGUUUACGACUUAGAGCAUCUGCUACUACAUUAGCCUUGCCUGGAUGAUAGUGAACUUCCAGGUCAUAGUCCUUGAUUAGCUCUAACCACCGUCGUUGCCUCAUAUUCAGCUCAGACUGCGUGAAGAUGUACUUCAAGCUCUUAUGAUCGGUAUAAAUGUGACACUUAUUUCCCAGCAGAUAAUGUCUCCAAAUCUUCAAAGCAUGCACCACAGCUGCUAACUCGAGGUCGUGCGUUGGGUAAUUGACUUCAUGCUUUCUCAACUGUCGGGAAGCAUAAGCUAUCACCCUACCAUCUUGCAUCAACACACACCCCAGGCCACUCUUCGAUGCGUCACAAAACACAUCAAAAGGCUUCUCUAUAUUAGGUUGUGCCAGAACGGGAGCAGUGGUUAGCAACUUUCGCAAGGUGCGGAAGGCUAACUCACACUCUUCCGUCCAGACAAACUUAUGGUCCUUUUGUAGCAAACUUGUCAUUGACUUAGCAAUCUUGGAGAAGUCAGGUAUAAAACGACGAUAAUACCCGGCCAGACCAAGAAAACUUCUAACUUCCGAGACCGAAGUUGGUGCCUUCCAGUCCAUGACUUCCUGCACUUUUGAUGGAUCCACAGCAAUUCCUUCUUCAGACAGAAUGUGCCCUAGGAAAGGAACUUUCUUUAACCAGAACUCACACUUGCUGAACUUGGCAUAUAACUGAUGCUCUCGUAACCGUGUCAGCACGAUUCUCAGAUGUUCGGCGUGAUCUUGCUCAUUUUCUGAAUACACCAGGAUAUCGUCGAUAAACACCACAACAAACUUAUCCAAUUCAGGCAUAAAGACUGAAUUCAUCAGAUACAUAAAGUAUGCAGGAGCAUUCGUCAACCCAAAGGACAUGACAAGAUACUCAUACAACCCAUAUCUGGUGGAAAAAGCAGUCUUCGGGAUAUCUUGCGGACGAAUCUUGAUUUGGUGAUACCCAGAUCUCAAAUCUAUCUUAGAAAACACUCUUGCCUUGGAUAACUGAUCAAACAGGAUAUCAAUCCUUGGCAAGGGAUACUUAUUUUUGAUUGUCACUGCAUUGAGUGGACGAUAGUCCACGCACAUGCGCAACGACUGAUCCUUCUUUUUCACAAACAACGCUGGACAACCCCAUUCCGACGAGCUUGGCCGGAUGAACCCUUUAUCCAGCAACUCUUUUAGUUGAUUCUUCAACUCAGCGAGUUCAUUUGGGGGCAUCCGAUACGGCCUUCUAGAUAUUGGUGUUGUACCUGGUAUCAACUCGAUUGCAAACUCUACCUCCCUAUCUGGGGGAAGUCCUGGUAAAUCCUCAGGAAACACAUCAGGGAACUCACAUACCACGGGUAUGUGUUCUAGAGGGACUACCUAUACUGCACAUGAAAGACUGGCGAAGUCCAACCGUCUAGGUAGCUUGACCUGAAGCACCCCCUUCCCUUGCGGGUCUCUAAGGGAAAGAGUUCUAUUCCCGGUAUCUAUAACCGCGCCCCAAUCAGUCAUCUUGUUCAUUCCAAUGAUGACAUCCAAAACCAGUCCUGGCAUGACCACAAGAUUUACACGGAACCUCCGACCACUGAUAUCCAAGGUAACUCCUGUUACCGUUUUAUUAGUCAACACAUCGGCUCCAGCUGAGCUGAUGCGAUAGCCAUAACCUAACUCAGUAACUGGCUGAUCAUGCUUUUGUGCAAAUGCUUGGCUCAUGAAUGAAUGCGAUGAUCCAGAAUCAAACAAAACAACUGCAAGAUGUUGGUUGACAGGAAACAUACCAGCUGUUACCGGUUCUCCUUCCGGAAUCUCCUCGAUCGAGGCAUGGUGCACACGAGCUGGAUAGGUUGGCUGCUGCCUUUUGGGGUAGGGACAUUCCUUAGCAAAGUGCCCCAUCUUGUGGCAGUUAUAGCAUGGACCCUUGGGCGCAUUGUUGGCGGCAGGUGCUGCAGCUUGAAUUGCCUUUGGCUUGGCAGGGGCUAUCGCCACCUUGUACGGCUUCUGUUGUGUUGGAUGCCCGGUGUUCCUUCUCUGCGGCGGUCGGAACCUAGUACCCGGGGUAGGAGGACGAUACUGCUGUCGCCCUGCCACUGGUGCCCUGGACUGAGAUGAUCCGGCUUCAAAAGCCCUCUUACGAGACUUGGAUGCACUGUAGUUGUUGUUAUUGUUCUCUUGGGUCAGACAGUCGCUGAUAUAGGCAUUGAAAGUAGCCCUGGCCCCUGUACCCAUGGUCUUCAGCAUCUUUGGAUUCAAACCUCUCUGGAAACUAGCAAUCUUCUUAGCCUCCGUGUUUACAAACUCAGGGGCAUAGCGAGCGAGAUUGUUGAAAGCGUGUAGAUACUCCUUCACAGACUUCGUCCCUUGGGACAGCCUCAUGAACUCCCCAACCUUCAUUUCAACCACACCAGGAGGAAUGUAAUUUCCCCGGAAAGCGGUGGUGAAGCGGUUCCAAGUGAUUGGGGUCCCUUCUGGGUAGGUGGUAUGGUGAUGGGACCACCAAAUCCCAGCGGGCCCUUGUAACUGAUGUGCCGCAUAUUCAGCCUUGAGUUCUUCUGUCAUUCGGAGAAGACGAAACUUCUGCUCCAUGGUGUUGAUCCACUCAUCUGCUUCGAGCGGUUCCAAGGCCUCCUUAAAGAUUGGUGGCUUGGUAUCCAUGAAGUCCUUGAACGAACUGUGCUGGUUGACCUCUCGGCCACCCUGAUUAUCCCCACGACGGGUAUUGUCAGCUAUGUUGCGCAAAGCUUCUUCCAUGUUGCGCUGCAUCUGCUCCAUGUUGCGUUGGCUUCCUAGAAACUGCGCGAAAAACACAUCCGCAGUGUACGGGGGAGGUGGUGGUGGUGUUGGCGCUCGGUCCUCAUUCCGUUGAGCCCCAUUUCCGGAUGUACCUGCUCCAAGACCCGGGUUGCCGUUACCCCCGCCACGUGUUUGUACCAUCUGCAUACGCCAAUGAUAAGCAAUCGUUAGGAGUUGCCAUCAACCGGUAGAAAAUGUGUAAAAUCGUGCCAUACUGAAUUUACUGAGGGAAUAAAUUCACACAAUAAUGAAGGCACAACCACUCAUCAUCCACGCACAACAUCACUAACAGAUUACUUAACAUUCACGCAACAAGGUUCGCGUACAUCCAACUUGCCAGCAUACAUACACUGGACUUUCAGCAUCAACUCAUAAAGUCUUACACAGCCCAGAUCCACAAGUACAUGACAUGUCAUGCAACAUACAUCACAAAAGAGGAAAGACUAGCUCUAGAGCCCUAGCAUCUAGUCGCUAUGAUCACUGUCCAUGCCAGAGCCAUCCUCAUCCUCGUCACCACUAGCAGCUGCUCCUAUCUCGGGAUCCGCGUCCAUCUCGUCCUCAGAGUCUAGCUCUGCUGCUCCAGGCAGGUGGUGAGGGUGGAGCUGGUUAUGCAGCUGGUGGAUCUCCUCAUGCAAGUUCUCAUUGUACUCCUCGGCAUUAGCUAGCUGCUGCUCUAGCUCCAGCUGUCGGGCUCUCAAAGUGUCCUCCUCGUGCCAGGCUUCAUUCCUCUGUCCAAGCACAUGGACUAGCAUGCGCUCGCAGUUCCUAUGAGCAGUAGUCACCCUGUCCUUCUGCUCCCGCACUGCAAGCAGGUCCUGACUCAGCUCACUAUUCUUCUGGACUGCCUGGUCUCUCUCUCUGGUCACACAAGCUAACUCUGCCUGUAGCCUCUCAACCUCAGAGUCAAACUCACGCUGCAACUGACGCUUCUCAUCCUGGACGGUGAGAAGAGACCCAGACAAGCGACCCAAACAACGCUCCAGGCCUCCAUAGGUCUUCAUCAACGCGUACAUGGCACUCAUAGCUGCACUGUCACUGUGCUGGUCCUCAUCCGCACUCCUCUCUAGAGCAUUCACCUCGGACUGAUCCCACACCGAAGAGUAAGGGUCACCCCGGGGAAACACCCCAGCGAAGGCGUGGGCCAGCUCCUGUGGAAACCUCUCCAUGAGGUCCCUCAGAACUGCGAAAGCUGCCCUGCUGGCACCGUGGAAAGGCGUGACACCUCGGGACUCGUACACCCAACCGCCCCAAGCAGGGUCUCCUCCACUGGUAGGGACAACUGCCUCGAUCCCCACCAGGGUCUCAUCACCAAGCGGCUCCUUAUCCCAAUAGUAGCGAGGCUCCCUUCCUUCGGGAUACCCCAUCGAACUGAGUACCCUCCAAAGCAAAGUGGGCAUCCCAAACUCCUCUAGGAACUUGCUCUUAUGUCGCGAGCUCCUAGCUGCCAACGGACGGCGAGGGGCCCGCCCACCAGUGGACUUGCGAGCGGUGAGCCUAGUGCGUGCCAUCUGCUGCAAAUGGAAUACCGUGGGUAAGAGUGUGGAUUACCUUUAAUUAUUUUAUUUAGAAUUGGGACAGAUUAAAUUAAGGGGGAAAGUAAGCAAUGAUAUGAAAUGAACAUGAUGUAUGCACGAGCUUACGAUCUCACAAACUUAGAAACAAAGGUUAACACUAAGUGGUAUAUGCGGUGGCACACAACGUUCUCUCAUAACGUAACUAGCGUUCUAAGCGAGAACGUGGUUAGUGUACCUGCAGAAAACUCAUUUCAGCCCACCCACAAUAUGAUCAUGCAGAGCAAGAAUUUAAAACCCUGCACUUCACAUACACAGACACCCGUCCAUGCAUGUGACGUGCCACUACCCACAUCAUCGCCCUAUUGACGGCAUCGCCUCUCAGGAUGGAAUUCCCAGCAUGCGGUACUGUUCCCAAGACACACCAACAUGUGCGCAUGGCACAGCACCUGACAACACUCCCCUAGACCGGCAGUGUAUCCGAUCAUGCUCUCACAACUCCCACUUACCAUGGCGUAGAGGAAGAAUUGAUCCAUACAUUACCACUCAAAUGAAUGGCACUCAUACUAUUUGCACGCCGUAUGAGCGACGAAAUGAAAAUAUGAUGCAUUAACCCCAAGUCAGUACUUAACUAGCCACCUUAGAGUCCUUAACUGGGCAUAAAGGAUAUGACCAUGGCACACUAGAUAAUUUUCCAAAACUUAGUUUAACACCUUAAUCCUUAUUAAUUACCAAAAUCCUUCAUUAGACCGGUUUAGAUUUUGUUUAGAACGUACUUAUGAACAGUAACUCGCUAAACCUUGCUCCGAUGCCAGCUGUAACAGAACCGACCAAAUUAUAAGAGAUUAAGCCUAAUAGUGACCAUUUGCAUAGUCGAACUAUCACGCUUAAGCCCAUAUAAUCCCGGUAGUCCGUGAAAUCUCGAUGGAUUUCAAACCACACAUCACAUAACAGCCAAGAUCGUAAUAAGUUUAGCGGUCGCCAUCCACAAGUACAUCCAGAUUACAACAUUCAUAAAAUACAUCGGAGUGCUUAAAGUUAUUACAAACCAAGUUCUUCAAGUAGCGGAAGCUUCAUAGUUUGAAAUUACAACACACACGAUAAGUCUGAUACAGUGCCAUAGUUCGGUCAUUCCCACAAAAGCAAAAGAAGAGACGGAGUGACCAUCGCCCUUGGUCUAGUCAUCACCCAUAGCUGGGUACAGACAGAGGAUGCAAUAACCAUAGUACAUUUGACCAUCUGCAAAACAACAUGGGAAUAGAACCCUGAGUACGAGAAGGUACUCAGCUAGACUUACCCGUCAUAAACUUAAAAUAAAGACUCAUCAAGGAUCAUGAAGGCUAUAUAGUGGGGUAACUGACGACCAUUUUGCAAAACCGCAGUAUUUCGCUAACACAACCUACAUUAGUCUUUCUUCUUUUAGUUGGCUCAAGUUGAAAGUAUCAUUACCUAUCGUCUAGGUUUGCAUCUGCACUAUUACAAGCAAGUAGGAGACUAUGAUAGUACCUCAUCAUAGUAUUUCUUAAAACUAUUCAUCAUUAUAACCCAAGUGUUCCAUAGUCCUUACUACGAGGACAGGGCUCAUGUCAAGUGCUCACUAUCCAGGAGCGAUGGCGAUUCGAAUCGAUUUCUAACCAGCUGGCGAAUUUAUUCCCCACACAAACCACACUCACUGAUCAAGUGAGCUACAGGUCACCGUGUUGCACUAUCCAGGACCAAUUCGCGGGUUCGACAGGCACCGCCCGUACCCGAGGACCGUUCCGGCGACCGAGGUAUCCAAGGUAUACCAAGGUUGCGCGCCGCGCCCUCGUCGUUCUCCUCAACCAUCACCAAUACAGCGCGUACAUCGGGCCGAUUCCCGGCCCGGAUAGUGCUCAGGCUUCGCGGUCGGAACGACUUAUCCUUCCAGCUAAAUGUGGGGCAUGCGUUCAACAUGACAAGAGGGCCGUCAACGAUCGGUCCUUAAUCGACACAGGCAGGGGCUCUAUGGGCAACCCACCAUAAGACCCUGCCCGGUCUCCAAUUACAGUUCACACUUGGUUAUUUCUUUCCCCAAGCAACCACUGCUUAAUCAAGCAGGUAUCCACCUAUAUCUCGCAAGUGACAGGACAUCACCCGACUUCUACCGGACUAAGCAAGCUAAGCAUAGACUCCGCGCCUAUCUACAUAGGACAAGGUAGAUAAACGAGUAGGGAUAACAAGGAGUACAUAUGCAGCAACGGUAUCAGGCAACUCCUAUCACUUAAUAUGCAAUACAAUAGAACAAGUAUAACACUUUAUAUAAGUUAGCGAGAAUAGGGUGACUUAGAAUGCUCCGGGGCUUGCCUUUCUCAAAGGUGCUGGGUCGGUGAUCCGGACACUCUUGCAAUUCCUCUCCGGUUUCCUGUGCUUCCGGAGGUUCCUGCUCCUGUAUCUCCUCGGGUUCCUCGGGUCCCACUUCGUUCUCCUGCGAGCCUGUAUGAUGCAUAUAUGCUCAUGAGUGGAGUGCUAGAUGCCCGAGUGGAUGCUUGUAUGAGAAAGUACCAAAGGACCAUGACAUGAUGCAUGGAUGAUACACUUGGUCAUGUUCAUUACAAUGUAUGCAACAUCAUCCAAGAACAGGCACUUGGAUUAAGCAUCUAUUGCAUUCUCUUCUACAAUUAUUUUUCAAAUGAAAUCAGCAACCUACAUGAUGCUUCAAAGAUACACCAAACCCAACUUAGUCCAUUCAACUUACAUACACAACCAUUCAUAAUUUUCUUUAUUCAUUUCUAAGCCUAUUAAAAAUCACAUGCAAUUCUGUUCAUCAAUAAAUUCCAGAAAAAUUACAGGAGACUACUAGUUAAUCAUAAAGUCUACUGUAAAUUUUUCAUAAUUUUUGGUUACUUAUUUUGAGCCACAAAAAUCACAAGAUUAAUGGAUAAGGCAAGUAUAAUCACCCUACUGUGAUAUAAGUGUCAAACAACAGAUUUCAUAUUUUUACAAUUUAUCUAAUAUCAUAAGAAACACCCACAAAAUUUUCCAGAUUUAUUGCAUGACCCAUUUAAUUAUUAAAAAUCAUAAAGCACUGCCAUGCAAGCAUUUAAAUUACCAUAAAUUCAUUUAUACACCAAAUAAUAUGUAACAAUAUUUUCUCGGUGAUUAAACACACAUGCAGAGCCAGCAAAACAAGUUUUACAUUUUUCUGAACCCUAUUUUAUUUACUAUGCAUUUUCCAAGUUUAGGAAAAACAUGGAUUAAUUAUAUUCUUACAGGAAAGUUACUCAAACAUGACAUGCAAUCAUACUAGGCUAUAGAUCUGGAAAUAAGGAACACACCAAAAUUUAUUUCACCAUUUUUGGAGCUAUAUUCAUCAAGAUAUGGAUUUUUGAACAUUUAAAUCAUUUCCUGGAAAAACUUUUAAAACGGAAAACCACCUAAAACACUAAACGCACCCGGAUCCAUUCCCUCGGAGUCACUGACAGGCGGGACACGCGAGUCAGAGGACCCCACCUGUCAUCCACCCCGUGACCCCGCGGCCAAAGAUCGGCCGGAAUCUCGCCGCCGGUGAGGUUUCCGGCGACACCGUGAGCACCUACGGCUUCGCGCGAACGAGACGAGUCCAGCCGUACCCUCUUUGGCACCGGACGAGCACCGGAACUACCUCGCCGUCGUGAAUGGCGGACGCGGCGGCGCUGCUCGCCGUGGUCCGGCCGUUUCACGGCGGUAGAGCGUGAGCUAGUGACGGGAAAAGGUGCGCGAGGUCAAGGCGGACCCAAAGCACCUACGAGCGCAAGCAGAGACAGAGAGGAGAGGGAGAACCGCGCGAGCCGAGAGGUCGCCGGAGCUCCGACUUACUCCGGUGAGCUCUAGCGGACACGCAGGGCUUACCGAGCGCGGAAGAGCGCAAGCACGCGACGCGGAAGGACGAGGCGGAGCCGGUGGUGGUCGCGAAGGGGAAGGAGAGGGCCGGAGCUGGCCGGGAGAGGAGCUCCGAGCCGUCGGCGGCUAUGGCGUGCGGCGGAGCGGCGAGCGCUGCGCGAGAGCGAGCAGAGAGGCGAGAGCGAGCGGUGGAGGGCGCAAAUGGGAGCGGGGGCUUCGGCGGGCGCGUCCAGGGGCUCCUGGUGGCCGACCAGGGCGUCUCCACGCCGUCGCAUGCCCGCCACGCGGCGGCCAGGCUCUGCCGGCGCGCCACGGCGGCACGGCGAGGCCGUCCGCGCGCGCGGACGCGGGCGCGAGCGCGAGGAGGGGGAAGGGGAAGGCGCGGGCGGGCCAGGCCGACUUCGGCCAGCGGGCCAGAAGCGAGGCCGCGGCCUGCUAGCGCCCCCUUUCCCUUUUCUAUUUUUUUUUGAAUUUCUUUUCUCAAAUCCUCUUCCAAAAGCAUUUUGACCAUUUUCAAAUCAUUUUCACCAUUUUCACCCAAAAGCAAAGUGGUGCCAAACUAAAAGCUCUACAACUUUGCUUUAAUAGGUAAGACCAAAUUCUAAAUAGAAUUUGAAUUACAAAUUAAAACUUAGUUCUAGGUUUUUAAAUAAAGUUAUUUUGGGAUAUUUUGUAUAAAUUCCAUUUCUCAAUUUCCAUAGCUCCAAAAAUUGCACAAAAAUGUUCUUAAUUCUUCUUACACAUAAACCAACCUAGUUUGAAUAUUUCACAAUUUUUGAAGCAAGCACCACAUUUUUAACAUAUUUAAAACUUAUGAAAUGAUGCACAUAAAAUCAUAUUCUUAGAAGAAUGACAUGCUCAUGAUGCUUAUGAUUGAUGAGAGUGCUUAUGCAUGACUUUGAUGAGACUAAGUGCAUGCUUAACACCUAGGGUGUUACACUUUAGGUCGGUGGAGCAUGAUCCAAGAGUUUGGUUCUAAUUGGCCCCGAGGCCAGGGCGGGCGCCCAAGGGGGGAGGGCGGGCACCCUGCCCCCAAGCUCGUCUGGUCUCCCGUUCGUUUCCGUGGCUUCUGGACUCUUCUAGAUUAAGGAAAAUUGUGCGGCAUGUAAUUAUCUCGUUGUAAACAUGACAUGUGGGCCUUCUCUCCAUAUUUUCUGAUAACCCCCUGCAGAAAUAGAUAAACACCAAAGCUCGUGGAAUUCUGUCAUAUAAAACCCUAAUUCUAGAUGUUUGGUGCGUAUUGAUCCUUUUCCAUGUUUAGUUGAUGAUUAAAUUUAGUACUUAAGGACCGUCAACAGCUUGCUCCUAGGAUUCUUCACUAAUUCAACUUCUAAAUUCUAGUAAGUUCUUGUUUUAUUGUUCUUUGGUUUAUGAGUUUACUUUAAUCUCUUCCGGUUGAGUUUAGAGUAAUCAUUGCUAGCGUAAACGUGGUGUUUGGGCUAGGGUACUCAUAGAUAUCCUCUGACUAGCUGGACCGUGGUAGUAGCGAGGAACGUGACAUUUCUGAGUUACCUUUGCAUCCCACAUCUCGUUAGCAGGAUGGGUAGGGUUUAUAGGUGCGGGUCGAACAUCCUCUGUGGUGUCUAGAUUACGUGAGCCUCCCCAAUAGAAUAGUAGAUCAUCCUUACCAAGGUUAGAACGAGGCUACGGUCGCAGUCUUCUCUAUACAUCGCUCACAUCGAAUCACAUUCUUUGUAGCCUAAAGGGUAGUAGCAAUAGAUUUGGUUAGUCAGAUGCACGCUUUCUCCCAGUGGUAAAAAUAUAAAUACGAUAUUUUGGAUAACCUCCCGGGUGAAAUGCUCACUGAUAUCCGUGUGCUUGCGGAUCAUUUCCUGAUGGCGUUAACAAAUAUCAACAAGCAUUUCUGGCGCCGUUGCCAGGGAGAAAGACGGUUUGCUGAGAUAACUUUAAGUCUUGCUAUUAUCUUGUAUUAUACUUUUAUUCUUUUAUCUUUUUAUUUUUCCAUCUUUAUGGAUAACUUAAAUUCCACACCUAAUAAUGAAUUUUUUGCACCUUCGGAGACCAUCCAUAGACCAUGGGAGUCAACAAGUCCUUUCAUUGCCCCUAAUUAUGAUUUGUGUCCGGAGUUGAUUGCAAUAGGUCAAAACCAACCCUUUUCUAUAGCUGAGGUCCUAUCUUUGAAUCAAUAAGAUAAUGAACUUUUAGCUACACCUAGGGAAUCUGUUAAUCUUUCUAUAAAUUCUGGUUUAAACCUAGCCCUACAAGACCAUGUUUUUUCUCGAUAUUUUCACAUUGGUCUUAAUCAUAUAACCUUUGGUAGAGUCUUUCUUUCUUUAUUAGUAAAGCAAGGUACGUCUUCAUUUGUGGACAUCCUUCUUGCACUAGUCUUCAUAAAAAAUCCUAGAGAUAGAGAAGGAAUCAUCUCCUAGAUGAGGAAAGGAAGUUUCAAUAGCCGAUUUCCAAACAUUUCAACCCCAUGAUUCGGCUAUCCAACCCAAACUAGUAGUGCUCCAAAAUCAUCUAAGGGAAGAAGAAAUUCUACCUUUGGAAAUUUAUUUUGGGAUGAGCUUAAACUUCCUGCUUCAUAAGAGACCUUUGAGUGCAUAUAGUCUGAACCUUCCUAAGAAGGGAUCUCUUAGAAAGCAUCUCAAAUCCAAUCCCUUUGAUGGACAUCUAGAAAGACUCAAGGAUGGCUUCUUAAGUGAUGCAAUAGAAGGAGAGCGAAACCAUUUAGAAGACAAUCUCAUCUUCUCCCCUUCUACGUCCACUUUUGAUGACUUAUUCAAACCUAUCUUUAGACCCAUCCUUGAGCCUAAUAAUUUCUACUCUUCUCUUUCUCUUGAACCUCCCGAUGAUCUUAUGAAUCUCUCUAGACAUCCCAUGCAUAAGAGUCACCAAGACCAUAAGGAGGAUCGAGAAGAGCAACAUCAAUGGCUAGAGGGCAUUAAAACUCCAUGUGCUAUCACCAUUGAAUGGAUGGACAAGGAAGAACCCUUAAUGGAUUCUGACUUUGGGUUAAUUUCAAAUAGUGAGUUCUUGACUCCCUUUGAAAAUGAGAUUCAUCCAACUACAGAAGAGGACAUAGGCGAGACCAAUCUAGGAGAAACUCCGAACAUUCAGAUUGGAGACGAAGAUAACAUUAAUGAGCAUGGAAUUUAUUUCAUAGCCACUUCGUUUACUCCAUGCUCAUAUGCAACAUCUUCCCAAUCUAUUGGUCUCUCCAACAUCACGACAUUUAAGAUCUCCAACCCCCUCUUUCUUUCUAUUUAUAAAAACUUUAAAAGGGCGGUUGUCGAUGCAUAUGUCUAUAAUAAAUAUUGCAGAUCUCGGUGAAUUGAUCUUGAUAUAGGUCAGUGUUGGAGGGGAAACCACUUCGCCGACAUAAAUUGAUGGUUUCCCAAGGACAAGCUUAGUGUCCUAAAACAAGCACUGAUCAGAUUGUAACAUGAACUUCUAAUUAUUUGCAACAUUGCCUUGCAUAUCAAGAUAAUUGUAGAAAUAUUCCUUCGGGUAUUCUUGUCACAAACCUUUCUAGGAUUGGAGCAAGAAGAUCGGAUGAAUGACAAGCACAAGGUAUGUCCAACCAACCAUCAUACAACAUUGAAUUAAAUUCAUCCAAACUUGAAUUUUACAAAAUUCAAUCUUGGGGGAGUACUUCACAUGAAAACAUCCUUUGCCAAGUUGCUAUGUUGGUUGUCCCUACCUUUGAGGCAUGCUUGAUUUGUUAAGUACUAGUCACACUACUUCAUCUCCACUUGAGGAGAUCUCUAUAAAAGCCAUCAUGCUACCUAUGUUUAUCCUAGUAAGUGUUGGUUUGGAAGUACUGGACAUACUUCCAUUGGUAUUUAAAUUAAGCAUGGUGCUUAGGUUAAAUAGCCUUCCUUAAUCUGAUUAGACAUGGAGUCUAGUUUGGUUACUGAACUAAAAACUGCUUGAGUAGGCAUUAGUAUAUUUUGUCGGACUAACCCCUCCAUGAAAACUUUCAAUAUCAGCCUAGGAAGUCCUGAGAUACAAACUCACAUUGGAGACAAAGGAGACACAUAAAGUUUAACGAUUUGCACAAGGAAGACAUAGCUCAUUCAUCAUAGAGAGAUGAUCCAUGGAACAAGACAAAGAGUGCCACAAACACUAUACGCACCCAUUACGAAUGGGAAGUUUCCACAAGGUGAGAUGGUACCAUCACUCUUCAAUUAAGGUAACAUCUUAAAGUACUUGACUUUCCCUUUUAUAAGCUUCUCCUUGGUUCUGGCGUUCACAUAAAAUAAAGAGACAAACAUGUAUGAUUUGUAACUCCAAAUUAACCAACCCAAUUAAUUCAGCAUGUUUAGUCCUUUAAUCUUUGUUUCUAGUAGUACCUCCAUGUUCCUACACUCCUAAUCAUAUAAGCUAAAAUGUUGUACAUUCAAUCUUUCGAAGAUAUAAGCAAAACAUAAAUAUAGAUAGAUUAUCUUUCCAUUAGGUCAAGCAAUCUGAUCUGACAAAUGUUUUAAAUGCUACACUCAUGAUCUUAUUAUCCAUCAACUUUGUCUUGCUCACUAUGUUUAAGGUUAGAGAAGAACAAAUACACUUUUGGUUCUGUUGGUGUUUUUCACCAACAGGGCCCAUGCACUUGAUCUCUGCCUUAUCUCUAUGAGCAGGUACACUUCGAGCAAAACCUGAAGGAGUUUUACAACUCCUAGACUCCACCAAGUGAAGGGCUUGGAUCUACGAGCACAAACACACUGGAGAUACUGGAUACUCAGGCAAUCACUGCCCUGAGAUGUUCAAGGACAUAAACUACAUCAAUAACAACACACAACCACUACUACUACAACCGUCCUCAACAAAAUCAAGGUUGGAAUCAACAGAGGCCUAACUACUCAGAGAGGCGAUCCAGGACGCCCCGUCAUCCUGAUUUCCAUCGGCAUGGUGGACUUCACAGAAGCACUCUGCGACUUUGGCUCCAGCGUCAACAUUAUACCUAGGGUUGCAGAUCGGACACUAAGUUUCCCAAAGGGAAUAUUGAAGAACCUCUUCAUCCGAGGAGGUUAUUCCUGAACACCUCGGGAGCUGUCAUCCACACUAGUGCUGCCAAGAUCAGUUCCUACAUUAAGGGGAAGAAGGAGACAUUUACUUUCAAGAACAAGACUACAUAAAUCUCAGAGCAAUCCUGACAUGAACCAAGGAAGAGGACCAACAGGAGGAACAGGAACAAGCAAAUGUGGACUGAGUCAGCUAAGAUGGUCACUGCAGCCCAAGGAGGUUAGGAUCGUCGACUUAAGUCACCGUUCCUGACCAAAAAGGAUGACCUAGGUCAUUGACAUGGGAGAAGAUGAGUACGAUCCACCCAUCAUCCUUGAGGGACCGUUCCUCCGCACCGUUAAAGCAAUCAUCUAUAUUGGAACCGGAGAAGUCCACAUGCACUUCCCCUCUAAGAAGGUACGCCGCUAUUUUACUGACCUUAACUAUAUAGUUGAAGACUCUAAGCAGGUCAGGACAAGAAGAAGACGAGGCAACCGCAACCAGAGGAGGCAAAUCAUCAAGGACGGAUGGGCAGACUACGAAGGAAAAGUGGUAAGGUCUGAAGACAUAUAGCUUGAACAGAACUAUCUUGAGGAGACCAUAGCACCGAGUUAGGUGUGGAGAGAGAAGAUAGUUAUACACGAAGAGGAGGCGCCGCCGGAACCACCGACUACGCCAUCCAGCGAAUCCCAAGACGACUGAGAAAACGGAGAGUCCCGUUUGGAGGACUUAAAAACACUGAACGCCUUGCCAAGAGGUAAACUUGGUAGUUAUCCUCUUCCCUUCAAUUAUUUAAAAUAGUUUGCUUAGUUAAUCAGGUUCAUAUCAUCUCGAAAAGAAAAUAAAAAUAUUAAAAAUAGUAAGCACCAUGUGAGUAUGCUCAUGGCAUAAAACCCAUAAGUACAUUCACUAUGGUGGCAUAAAAAUAUUCCUAUCCUAUAAAAAUGAGAAUAUAAAAAUAAAUUUAUGAUCCUACCAAAGAAAGUAAUAUUUAUUAGAGGAAGCUCAAUAAGAUAAAGGCAAAGAGAUUUUAUGCUAACACUUAACCAGUUCCACGAAGCUUUGUUGUCUAUUUGAGCUCCACAGAAUUCAAGGAUCAAAGAAGACUAGCAGACAGAGGACAUCCUAAUCACUGUCAGGGUGCUGCCGACAUUCAAAUACACCUCCGCCACCUGCUAGCUACAUCAGAAAAAAUUACGUCAAAAUCUAGCUUGGGGAGAGCACCCCCAUUUAUCCAGCUAAGUGUUUCUACUCGCAUUUAUGCUUUACUCAAAUAAUAAAAAGAUGCAUAAUCAUGAAAACCCAAAUAAAAAUUUUGUGCUUAUAUAUAUCUUUGCUUAGUUUGCUAAAUAAAUAAAUAAAGUGUCUAGGCCAAACUAAACUUAAAUGAUAAACUCUUACACGGAUAUGAUAAAUAGUUGCUCUGCCAUGUACCUAGUUUUUAAGUUUGAGCUUUCUCUCAAGUUUAGGCAUAACUGUUAUAAUUUAAACCUGCUCUAAACCUGAACUUGUGGGAAAAGUACUUGAUCUGAAGUCUAAGUCAUUAACGGAUAUGAUAUGGGAAGGUUGAGCUAUUGUUUAUCUGUUGCUAGAGAUGCUAGAAUUAUGGAGAAUUUUAUCUUUGAAAAGUCUUUAGAAUAACACAUGACGAGCUCCUGUAUGAUGAGAGUAUAAAUUCCUACCACAGCCAUAUAUACAUGCUUGCUAGACUUCGAGCCACACAUUUACUUUUUACUAGUUAUGAGCAUUGAGUGUGGUCAAGUUGUGUAGACCCUUAGGAGCUUGUCAUGCGGUUAAAAUCAAGAUCCACUUGCACAUUCACUCAUACAUGCUGCUUCUACUCCGGAAGUACGCAUCCACAUAUAUCCACUCAUUUCCAUCUCCAGAGCCACCAAAAAGUAUUCUACUCCUAAUUCGGGAGAGAAUAGCCAAAAACAUUAUCCUAUCCCUAUUAUUCCUUGUGGAAUAAAUGCUCGAGAUAUUUUGGUUACUACCACUUGCUAUAUUAUUUGAGAUGAGUGCUCUAAAAAAAGAGAAGAAAAAAAAGAGAAAGAGAAAGGAUACGAGGAAAUAAAAAGGGGCAAGUGCCCGGAACCUCGAAGAAAAGAAAAAGUGAGACGAGAGGUAAAAAUGGACAAGUAUCCGACAGUAGAAUUAGGGGUACAGAUACCCACCUGAGAGAAAAGAAAAAAAGAAAAUAUAGAGCAUCUCAUUCUCCUCAAAAAGCUUCAAAGUGCAAGAAAGGUAUGUAUCCCCUUAAAAGAGCAAAAGUAGAAUUAGACUUUCACCAUUGUUAUCACAAUCAUCACCAUACACCAUUCAUUCGCCACACAUGCACAUCAUGAUUUGACUUAUUGACUUGUUCUUCUGGAUCCAUGGUUUGACUAUGCAAUAAAUGUCUUGUAAGUAUGUAUUAUCUGUCUCCCACCUAUGAGCUCCAGAUAUCAAAACCUUAUUAGAGCAGGGUGAGAGAGAAGGCAAUAUCACUAUGCCUCACAACAGAAAUACCACAAAAGAGAGAUUUGAGAGAGUCCUACAAGUAAUCUCUGAGUUUUAUUUGAAAAUCUGCAAAAACUCCAGAGCUAUAGCUGAUCAAGAAUACGAGACAUGGCGCUUGACUUGACUUUUCUAUCUUUUAACUGCUCAAGACACAAGUGACGGUUACAAGCCCCAUGGUGAAAGGUAAAAUGAGUAAGUUUUAAGUCUUAACAGUUUACUCUAAAUCAGAGAUGAGAUUUUGCUUGAACGCAUGUGUACUUUUAAGGCAUGAAAUUACUGCAGAAACUCUUGAGUCCAUCCUUGCUCAGGGACGAGGAAGAGGUAAGCUUGGGGGAGUUGUUGACGGUCCUUAAGUACCAAAUAUAAUCAUCAAAUAAAUAAAUAAAAGGAUCCAAAUGCAACCAACACCUAAACUUAGGGUUUUAUCUGACAGAAUUUCAUGAGUUUUGGUGUUUGUCUAUUUCUUCAGGGGGUUAUCAGAAAAUAUGGAAGAAACGCCCACACGUCAGGUUUACAUAGAGAUAUUAACAUGCCACGCAAUUUUCUAUCAUCUAGAAGACUCCAGAAGCCACGAGAACGAACGGGAAGGUGAUCGGGCUCGGGGGCAGGGCGCCUGCCCUCCCCCUAGGGCGCCCGCCCUGAGGUAGAGACCAAUCAGGUCCCGUCUCGCGGAUUACGCUCCACCGACCUAAAGGAUCAAGGAUAACCGUUCAAUCAAUGUUGGUUUGAUCCGACGGCCCAGAUUCACUUGAGGGGAGUAUAUAAGCAGACCCCCAGGCCCCUGGAGGAGAACAAGUUCAUCAUAGAGUUGAGAGGUGCCUCGAAGGAUAACCUUUCCUCUAAAUAGACUUAGGGCUUAGCAUCCAAUGUGAGAGUAGACUAGAUCUAAUAGAUUGAGAGAGAUAGAGUGGAGGUGU
rnacentral:lncRNA from 1 species